UGUGAGUCCUCAAAGACAAUCUCUGCAAAUUGAAGCGUUACUACAUAGUUUCCGUUCUCAAGUCCAACGCCAAAGUAUCUUAAAGACGAAGGCGACAUCCUUGCUUUCUGGAACAGUUCUGAAUCCGGGGUAUUCCGAAACUGGCGUGUUGGGCUGUAUACUGUGUAACUUGCAUUUAAGCUUUGUAUUAUGUAAUCUCUUUUUGAUGCCUCCAUGAAUGUCCCUACAUUGCUAACACCCCAUGUUGGUGCUCCUGUAACAUAAUAGGAUGCAGGUCCAAGAUUGGCAUCAUCAGGCAGAUACACGGAACCAUCUGAUCCUGAUAUUGAACUACUGCUCCCGCAGUCCACAGCAAAGGAGGUAGCUGCAAGCAUGUUAAAUUAUUUAAUACUUAUGUUAAUUUAGCUAAGUAGACGCACGUUGCAGAAGCUAGAAGCUCACUUUGUGGAGAGCCAAGAAAGCAGGGUGUGUCUCGCUGAAGGCACUCCAGCCCCGAAGGUAAUAAGACACUGCAGAUGUCAAACAUUGACAUUUUGAAUUCAAAAUACGAGCUUAGAGAACAAUAAUUGUACAUGAAGAUUUUGAGGAGCUAUUCGAAUGUAAACUGACCUGUUAUUGGAGUUGCUGACCACGAAAUUGUUUGCCACCAAAUUCCUAUGUACAAUGAAACAUGGAAAAAAGGCACCGUUCAUACUUCAGAGCAUAUUGAGGGUUUGUUUUAUAAGAUAAAUAAAAGCAGGGACAAAUAACCGAUUUAUUUUUUCAGCUAAACUGUAAUGAAAAGUAAUUCUCCUUCAUUAAAGAUUUGGAAUCAUAUGUGGCUUAGAUUCUGAAUCAUAGAUGACGUCAAAUGCAAAAAAGAAAAAGAAAAAAAGAAAAAAUAAAUAUGAUCUAGGUGCAGCAAAAGCAGCUUUUUAGAUGUAAUUGAUAUUAAAAAAUGCUAGUUUAAUACAUGUGUAUGAUAUUGGAUUAUCUUUAAAAUAAUAGUAAUAGGGCUGAAUUUUCGGUCAGUCAAUCAAGCUUGCAAAACUCAGCACUUACAAUGUCAAAUUCGGACUAACCCAGGAGGGAAAGUUUCCUGAUAGCUGGUUGUAGGAAAAAUCUCUACACAAAAGAAAGCAUGUAAAUGUUAUAGAUAAACGCCUUCCUAAUUUUACUUCACAAAUGAAAGUGGACAAACAUACAAGUUUUUAAGAGAAGUUCCUAUAGAACUUGGAAGGCUUCCUGAAAGACUAUUAUUCCCGAGAAACCUAGGCAGACCAAAUUUGCGCAUUAGCAAGAUUAAUGAUCAUUGUCAUCAGAACCUAGAAAUAAGUAUCAGAAGGCAAGAUAAACCAUACAAGAAGCUGAGUGAAUUCAGAUUCAGCAGAGCUUGUGGUACUUGGCCAGUGAUAUUGUUAAAACUCAAAUCCCUAUAACAACAGAACAAAUGAGACUAGGAGAGAAAGGGGUCAUCAAACAAUGCAUAAUCCACAGCAGUUCAUUAAAGCAUCUAGCAAAACAUGUAGUUGACUGGAGUUUACGAAGAAACAAAAUGUCUUACAGUAGGGUUAAUGUUGCAAACUGUGAAAAGUUUACUGAUGCCAGGUUAUCAGAUAUCCUGCAGUUCCUCAAAACUCUGCAAUGAAACAUGUCAAGAGUUUUCGGAUUUAACAAUUGGUUGCACUACAGAAAAUAUUAAGAUGUAGUUUGAGUCAUCAAAUGAAUGGCAAGUUAUGCAUACAAGGUGUUCAAAGAUGUCAUGUUACUAAUGAAUGCCAGUGAAGAACUUCCAUUUACUAUGUCACCUAUUCGUCUGCACCACAGAAAUAAAUAGUUCAUUCUUCUGUUCUGCAACCUUAAUAUUUGACAAUGAUACUUAUCUACUCCCGCCAUCAGUAGUCACUUACAAGCUUGUCAGUUGGACAAGAUUAGAAAGAGUGGUUGGAAGUGGACCUUGAAAUGAAUUGCCUUGAAACCGUCUGCAAAAUUAUAGUUGUUGUUACUAGUGAAGAAAGAAGGAAGAUCCUGCUGGUACAAGGGUCACUUUCUUGGUAAAAAAAGUAAAUAGAUUUAUGCAGAUAGAAAUAUGAUCUGUUCCAUACAAAAAAUAAUUAUUAGAAAAAUCAAUUCAAUAUUUUUAACACUAGUAUUUUUUUAAUGGAACAGGAGGGGUUAGGACCCCUACUGGUUAUAUAUUCAGGAAAAAGAGUAUUUUACAGAGCAAUAGGAGAAAAAGGAAAAUUACAACAGAUUGUCAAGCCAUUCUGUGAUUCUAGGGAAAGACUUAUUUUUUGCUCGAUGGAUAACCAUAUCAAAUUCAUACUUGAAAAUGUUUCUGCAACUCUCAACUGAAACUUGUUGUUGCCUGGAGAUUGCAUUGUUCCUUGUUGUCCAGAAUAUGUGGAACAGCACCGCAUUAUCAUGAAUAGUGAAAAAAUGUAAUAUUUACUAAAAUGAUGAAACCACCUCACAUCUGACCUUAAGUGGAUUAUUUUAAUAGGCCACUGAAUGGAGAUUUAGCAGAGUAAAAACUACACUUAGCUAAUACCAUCUCAUUUAUGAGCACAAUGAGCCAGGGUUCAAAAUGAAUUUCAUACUUGAGAACUGUUGCAAACUGUACACAAUGUCUUUAAAGAAAUUAUCAUCACCAUCUGAAAAGUAUAAGUUGUAAAUCUUACAGUUCUAAUAAAUUACUGAAGCUCCCAAUGUAAUCUGGUAUUUGCCCAGUAAAAUCAUUAUCUGAUGCCCACCUAAUCACAAAUAAGAAAAACACAUAAGGUUAAAUGAAUGAUACUGUUGACAAAACAUCUUUUAUAGGCAUACAAUAUUUUCAUGCUUGUAAGCUUAGAAAAUGAUGGUGGUAAUGGACCACUUAAGCCAGAGCUGUCAAUAUAUCUGCAAGACAGAAAUAAAAGAAUAAGAAUGUUAACAUGGUUUGGCAGAAGAAAAAGGUAAGGACUACAGGGUGCCCAAAAUUAAUCAAAAUACGCACAGUUGCUCAAGUUUAACCAUGUUACCCAGUUCGGGAGGAAGGGAUCCAUUUAAGUUGUUCAUGCUUAUGCCCCUGAAAUCCCAGAAAAAAAUAUCAGGUUAGUAGCAAAAGAUUUGUGACAGGAAACUUUCUUAUCUUUCGAAGGAUGAAUACAUUUCUCGACAGAGGUCAACUAGUAGAAGGAAUGAAGGUGUGUUUUUUCUAUAAGCUUGAUGUCGAUAGCAUGUAUUCUCAACUUAAACUGUUCUUUAUUUGUUGAUUCUUACACAUUUAAAUAAAUUUAUAGGUACGUGUACAAAGCCAAGUCGAGAUUUAUAAAACUUUGUAGUUUGGACAUUAGCAAAGAUUUCUACUGAAAUAGGGUCAUGAAACAGAGAAGGUAAAUUUCUUACAGCGAUAUAAGAUUCACAAGCUUCCCAAGCUCCUUUGGAACAGAUCCAGAUAAUGCAUUAAUUGCAAGACUCCUUUUAUGUUCAAGGGAGAUAAUUUAAGUUUCAAUGUUACCCAAAACAUGUGAUGUAGUAAUGUUAGGUUCUAAAUCUCACAUGUAUUGCAAAGCAGUCAGUUCCCCAAGGAACGAUGGUACAGGCCCUGUUAAGUAAUUUUGCAUUAAGUUCCUGAAAAAAACGUCAGAUCAGAUCAGAUGUAAACGAAAAAGGAUGGCUCUCAGUAGGUAUUAUAUUUAAAGAAAUUUUGAGCUUGAUGCGGGAGGCUACUACAAAGCAAUCCGCUGCUAUGAUAAUAUGAUAUGCUGUGGAACUGCGGAAAAUGACAAAGUCCACCGAUAAAUUGCGACUAAACAAUCUUCAUAUACACUUGGGAUACUUUGGCUCACUGACGAUUUCAAGAAAGUUGAGAAUUCAUACAAAUUGGUCAAGUGCGUGAGGUUCCUCAGCUCUUCUGGUAUAGGACCUACCAGAUUCAAUGCGUACAUUUUCCUGCAGUAAUAACAGUGAAGCACCCAUCAGCUCACACCAUCUCAAUUUAGCCUUCAUGGAUGUUCGUCAUCAGACAAACACCACUAGGUUAUGGAGCGCCGUCAAAUAACCGCACAAGCAAUAGUUGCAGAGAUAAGGACGAUGCACUAGCUUGCCACACUCUGAGUGCACGAACUGCCACCUCAGGUGGGCAAAUUAGAUCAUCCAGCAACUAAUGGUGGGCGUACGGAUAGGAAGCGUGAGACACUUACAGCUUGGUGAUGUGGCAGACGGUGUUGUUCUGGCCGGAGCACUUGCACUGGAUGGCCGGGUUGAAGUUCAUGUCUGAGUCGAUGUUGGUGUCGUCCGUGGCGGCGCCGGUGCAGGGGUCGCCGCUGAUGUUCCAUGCCGAAGACGCCGUCUGGCCGAGCUUGUCGAACACCGCAUUCACCGCCGCCGCUGCAAAACCGAAAACGGGUUCAUACUUCACACACAUCCCAAAGAAGCAAUCACCGACUAACCUUUACCGACCACAGAGAAUAUAUAAAAUAACAGAUCACCCUCAGGCACUCAACGCGAACUCUAGGCAAAAGUGGUGAAUCUAGUAGUGUACAGUGAUAGCUAGUCUUAUAAUACAUUAAAAGCAUUAUAAGUACCCUAAAAGCUUGGUGACAUAGUAACUUUUUUUUUUCUUUUUUAAUAAAAAAUAUAUAUCUAGUAGGAGUCUUAGCCCCACCUGUUCCUUAAAAAAAAAUACCAAGACUCUAGCUGUCCUACCUCGGGGCUUUCUUAUUUUUUAAAAAAAUAAAGGCAACGGGUAAUAAUACGUUUGGUUCCACGGACUAAAGUUUAGUCCCUAUCACAUCAAAUGUUUAGAUACUAAUUAGGAGUUAAGCUAAUUAUAAAACUAAUUGCACAGAUGAAGGCUAAUUCGCGAGACGAAUGUAUUAAGCCUAUGUCAAAUCAUGGACUAAUUAGGCUUAAUAGAUUCGUCUCGCGAAUUAGCCUCCAUUUGUGCAAUUGGUUUUGUAAUUACUCCUAAUUAGUAUCUAAACAUUCAAUAUGACAGGAACUAAACUUUAGUUUGUGACAAUGAAUACGACAACUAGCAAGUAACUACCACGACAAGCAGCCAUAAGGUGGUUGAAGCUGCACAACAAGUCAACAACUAGCUCUCUAAAGAAGGUUGAUUUUUAGGGCAGUCCCAAACCAUAGUUUCUAUGGGUAGUUUCUAUGUUGACCUAUCACCAAGAUGCCACUUGUAGAUCUAAUCUCCCCAACCCAUAGUUUCUAUGGGUAGUUUCUAUGUAGAGCAAAAUUUCAUGAUUUCACGCAAGCACCACAAGCAAAGCUCGGUCAGCUGUCGCAAGCAACCGCGUAGCCUUCAUGCUGCCACAGUCCGAGCCAUUGAAACAAAAUAAUUCUUUCACAGCUGCUAUAAGAUCGAUCGACCUGGAAAGCGCCGCCAAGAGACGAUGCAGGCCAAAAUGCAGGAGCGAGAUGAGUGCUGGUUCGAUCAGUGCCUGGACAAAGUGCCAAAGUGGCGCUUGAAGCAACGGACGGAGAACUGGCGCCUGCAGAAGCAACUGCGGUAGCACCAACAACACGUCUGGAACUUGAAGAGGGCUUCCUCGAUUUCUUUUGAUGUACGCCUUUCUUCUCCAAUCGAUCCUUAGAAGCGGCGCGUGUGGAAUUGCUGGCGGAGGCUUGGUGCGCGGCCGCGCACGGGGGUGGCCAGCGGCGUGAGGCGGACACAGGCGCCGGAAAUUGGCACGCGCGAGCGAGGGAGGGGAUGGCCGCGGCGCGCGCGUGAGGGAGGGUCGCGACGCGGCAGUAGCAGGCGCGCACGGAGCCUGGGGUUGGGUCGCGGCGCACAGCGGAUCGGGAAGAUGGGCAAGAAAACGAGGAAGGAAACGAUAACGCUGGCACAACGCGAUUACGGCGGUAUCUACGCACUUUGGUGCGCGAGCCGACUCGGUUUCUCACAUGAGAAAAACGAUUUCUUGCCCUUUCUUCGUUAAAUCACCUGCCACAUCGUUAGAUCGCUGAUAUGGUACUGUAUUGAAUGAUAUAGAAAUUGGAGGGUUGGGAGUGCCCUUAAUAUUUUCUCGCUUGGAUCCCAAUUUCACCUCGUGGGCUUGCUCUGUUCGAUGUUUCCUCACGUGGGACUAGCGUUGAACCACAAGAGUUUCUGACUUAUUCGUGGGCAAAACAUGGAUGAGGUCAAAAGGCGAAAAACCAUAAUAUCAUACCAUUAAACGCGCCCCUGUUGCCCUUCUACCCGAAACAUUUGGAACGAGAUAGUUUCUUGGACGAAUCGGGCAGAUGAUUCUCUGGAACAGAUCAGGGAUUGUACAGAUCAGGGAGAUGAAAUUCCAACAGCAAAGGUGGCCAUGAUGCCGGUAAGAAUUCGACUCGAUCGAGCUGAUUUUUCAAGAACUUACUUGCAGGGGAUAUUAUCUUAAGAACGUGAGGACAUUGCUGACAGCUAGCAACCUCAAACUGAGAGGCGCCUCCCAGGAAAAGAAACAAAGCAAAAGGCAAGAACAAACUUAAUUACAAAUAUACAAUCGAGCUCAUCAGAUAGAACACCUCGAAAAUUAUCUUUUUAUCGCAGGAGCGCUGAAUAGGACUUACCUUCAGUUGGAUCUGUCCUUGUUGGUGGUGCUUGCUGAGCUUUGGCCGACGCAGCUAGGAGAAGCAGCGCGGAGAGCACGUAGCCACGGAGGGAAGAACUCCGUGUUAACCUCAUCUCCCUCUUCCUAACUGCUCUCGCUUAGCUUGGCCGUGGCCCUUCCGAGGAAAGCAAUCUUGUUCCGUGUCCAAAAAAUCUGCUGAUUUCAUCAUCAUAGAAGGAAAGCAAAGCAAAUAAAGCAGCAGUCAAAGGCACACGACUGAUUGGGGAUACGCGGUCGUUUGGCAACAUUAGUACUGAAGACGACUGCAUGACUGACUGACGUUCUCAAGCUUUGGAUUCAUCCACUCGAACCAUUCAAGACUGUCAUGGUCUAGAUAAUUAAGGCGAUUUCCCAGGAUGGGAUGUUUGCUAUGGACAGAAGCUGGAACAAUUCAACGAAGUAAUAAUAAAGGCCAACCACUUCCGAUACUGACACAUAUACAUCUCAGAGUUCUAACUUUCGCCGUGCGGCUGCUUUUGGUCUGAAGUGUCAACUACUAGUUCGCACAUGCAUAAUCAGUCCAGUUUACACCACGGGAAAUCAAUUUCAUGAAGAUGAAAAAACUACUAGGUACUUCUUCCGUUUCAAAAUGUUCGGUUUUUAAACUUUUUAGAUACAUAAAUUUUGCUAUGCACCUAAAUAAUUGAGGUAAAAAUGAUUGUUAAGUAGCAAUGGGUACUUCCACCACGUACUUUUUUAAAAAAAAUUACACUGUUGAUCCAAGUAAUGUAAUUAAAAAAUAAAUUAAAUUAGUACCGGUCCCACUGUUUUUGUACUUGGUCUCCACCUAUUUGGUACUUCUUGUUACUUUUCUCUAGAUACCUCUAGGUACUUUCUACCUUUCCACCGCACGAUUUUUCUGGAUGGACGGCUCUUAUUUUUUCCAAUUAUUGAAAAUAUUUUCAUCAACAAAACCAAAACGACCUACAUUUUGAAAUAAAGGGAGUAACUAAUAGUCUAAUACCUUAGCAUUGACAAGGGCUUGUUCAACGAGAGUGGAACGACAUAGACACAAUCUCCUUGCAUUUAUCGAAAAUUUAGCAUUUUUUCCCUUCUGUUCUGCUGAAGAAUUUGGCCUAAUCCUAUGAACCCAGGCAAGUGCCUACGGAGAGAAUUUGAUGCCAGGUCCGCCAUUGGAUCAAAGUAGGCACGGCAAUGGAAUAAUGGAUAAUAACCGUCAUAUGCAGUGAUAUAAGGCUUAUAAUCCACUAUGCAAAACUAACAAUCAGGGCACCAACUGUGAAGUGUGUAUCUACACACAACGUAUUCCGUGGAUAUGGCUGCUAGGGGGGCGAGCCUUGGGUGCGAAAGAGGGCCAUUUGGAUGGUGCACCUAACGAAUCUUACACACAUCCAAAUCUUCAAAGUGCAUCCACACCAAAUAAUAUAAUCCGUUGCUUGACAGAAGCUUAUUUGAAUCUGAUGAUCAUUGACCAUCAUCACCGGCCUUCCUCGAUGAGGGAGCUCAGGUACGACGAUGUCGAUGCCGACAUGCCGACCACCUCCCUCUUGCUCGAGCUCGCCUGCCACUCGGUGACGUAGCUGGGCUUCGUGACUGCCUCUGGCACUUCGAUGUCUUCUGUGAGCAUGGACACCACCUUUGACAUGGAUGGCCGCUGCCGAGGUGAGCUCUGGAUGCAGAGGAGGCCGACGCGGAUGGCACGGAGAACCUCGUCGCUGACGAAUUCCAUGAGACUCGGGUCCACGACGUCGAGAGGACGGCCUUCCUCGUACAAUUGCCAGACCUGAAAGCGUAGGGCUCAUGCAUGUAGGAGAACUUCACUGUUGUAGGAAUGCAACAAACUAUUUUUUUUCAUAUGAUUCCAAAUUCUAAGAUCCACAUAAUGCUGCCAUUUUAAAAUUUAACACGCUGUGUCAGCUGCUUAGAUGCUAACAAGGUCUUAUAAGUGACACCAUAUGCAUGACUAGCAAUUUCUACGAAAAAUGUAUUUGUCUCAAAUAAAUAGCAUUUUUAUGUUGAAUUUAGUAUAUGAACAACUUUUAAAUUUUUAUGUUGUUAAUCUAAAUAAUUCUUCAUGUAGUGCUGCGCAAAGCUAAAACUGCUGCACAUUUUAGAAGAGGGACACUGGAGCAUAGAUCUUUAGAUCAAUAACUUAUAUUCUGUGUCCGAGGGAGUAACAAAACUUUCCCUCUUCUAAACAAGUGCCUAUCAACAACUAGCAUUCUGUACAUAGCUUAUUUAUUUGACUGCAUCUCUUUUUAUAUAAUUCAAUGAUGUCAAAAUUAUGGUUAAGUUUUUGAAUAAAAAAUCUUAUGAACGCACAUGAGCUUUAAUUUUUAUGUUAUAUAAGUGCCUAUCAUAUAUAUAUAUAUUCCCAGUUACCACAUGAAAAACUGCAAUUUGACCUGGGUCUAAAUUUUGUAGUGACUUUACCCAUUCUAAAAGAUAGGCGCUGUCUUCGUCAAGCCUAUCAUCAUAGUUUGGCCUUCCAGCUAUUGUUUCCAAUAUGACCACGCCAAAAGCAAAUACAUCAACUUUCUCCGUUACAUGACCUCUCAUGGCGUACUCAGGUGCUAGAUAACCACUUGAAAGAAGAGCAGAAAAAUAAUGUUAUUAGCUCACAGAUUAAUCAAACUAAAGUAUAAACUUUCUGCAAUUGUAUAAAGGUGCACUCCAGUGUGCAAGAUAACCUCUCAUUCCCUACUUACUAUAAAUGGGGCAAGAUGCAAAUGCGCUUACAAUGUACCGGCAACUUUUGUGCUGACAUGCGUCUUCUUGUCAUCAUAAAGUUUAGCGAGUCCAAAAUCUGAGAUCUUAGGGUUGAAAUUGGUGUCAAGUAAGAUAUUACUGGCCUUUAUAUCCCUAUGCACAACACGGAUGCUAGACUCUUCGUGCAAAUAAGCUAGACCUCUUGUAAUGCCUAAGCAUAUCCCAAAGCGUGUAAGCCAGUCUAGGUUCUUUCUCCCACUUCCUGCAAAUGAAUGUUUAAGUUAUACGAUGAACUCCUGGAGGGCCGGAGUUAUAUACAGUUGCAUCAAAUUGAAUGAACCUGUACCAAACAAUGCUUUAUCAAGACUUCCAUUCUCUAAGUACUCGUAAACCAGCAGUGGAUUUUCGCCCUCAAGGCAGCAACCAUACAACUUCACGAGAUUCCGAUGUUGCACUUGGGAAAUAGUUUCUAUUUCAGCUAUGAAUUGCUUCUUCCCUUGACGAGAUGUUUCAGAUAGCUGCUUUACUGCUACCAUGCUUCCAUCGGUCAGUUUACCCUGCGAAAAUGUGGCAUUUUUUAAGAAUGUAAGUUUCAGACACCUCAUUAUCACGCAUAUAAUGGACAAAAUAAAGAGACUGCCAAGCUAGCCAUGUGGGGCAACUAUAAAAGGAACUAGUAGAGAGCAACAAAAGGGAAAACCAAUGGGGAAUGUGUGUGUAGAUUGAUAUUACUAAAAGAAUAGGUGAAGCAUUGCCCAGAAGUAGAGGUUUAUUAGUCAAUUUGCAUACAGAAAAAGAGCUCUGGUGUGCACUACUUAUGUACGUGGAAACUUAAUUUCAGAGGCAAAUUAAAAUUCCAUAGCAAAUUUGCAUCCAUGUCACCAUGUGUAGUACAGAUGAACUAACCUUAUAAACUGCCCCGUAUCCUCCUUCACCAAGAAGGUUAGUGGAAUUAAAAUUUUCACUAGCGGUCCUUAGUUCACCAUAACUGUAACUAAAUACAUUUGGUCUUCCAACACAACUGUACAGCUCUGCAAGAAUCACAAGAGUUAAGUUUAUGAGCACAACCUCUUUGUCUGGUUUAAGAAUACACUGUGAACCUGUCAUAUCAUGUACCUCGUUUGUCCAAUGACAAUUUUCUUCUUUUCUGCCUCAACACAUAGAGUCCAGAGAGCACUAAUAGUCCUAAAACUGCUGCACCAACCCCAACCCCAACAGCGACACCUGUAUUGCUAGUACGUUUCGUCUGGGCAGCAUGGGCAGCAUUACGCACUGUAGGUUCGAAAUCUGUCCAAAAGUCCACUUGUUAGAACAAAUGCAAUCUUGGAUUUGGAUCCUAUGUUAAGUGUUUAUGAAUUUUCACUUUUUAAAAGUACUUGAGAAUUCAGCACCGGUUCAGAGUGGAUCUGUAAUUCUGUAUCACUAUUAUACAUGUCAGAGUGUUGGUUCAGUCAUCAGCAUUCUCCUAAUGGGAACUAAGUUGACCCCGCGAAAAUUAUCUAAACAGUAUAGAAACGUUGGUUUAUAGACAACGGGAGUACUUGGAGUUGCACUCAAAGCAGAGAGCGAAGGCCCAUAGUAGCCUUGACUAGGGAUGCAACAAGUGCCCUUGCCGGCCCAGAAAAGAUGAAUCUCAAGGAAGUUUCUGGUGACAGGAACAGUAUACUUCCUCGUGACAGCAGUGUAAGAUUUUCCGGCUGCUGCCUUUCUUAUGUCAAAGUUCUGCUCUUUACGCUCACCCUGUACCAAAAGCAAGAAAAAAAACAUUAGAAAAUCUCAAUCAGCCCAUAAGCUAAAAUCUCAAGUAAGUGUAAGUUAUCAGCAUGACUGGAACCUACCUGAAUAUAGAUAUCGAAAACCCUUUUACCUAAACUCUUCCAAGUCUGCAUGUCUUCGAAGUCAAACUCUGCAAAUUGAAGUGUGACUGUAUAAUUUCCAUUCUCAAGUCCAAUGCCAUAGUAGCGUAAUGAUGAUGGAGACAUCCUUGCUGUCUGGAACAGUUCUGAAUCUAGAGUUUUCAGAAACUGGCGUGAGCUGUUGAUUAUGUAACUAUUAUUUGGUGCCUCCAUGAACCUCCCAACAUUGCUAACACCCCACGUUGGUGCUCCUGUAACAUAAUAGGAAGCAGGUCCCAGAUCGGCGUUGUCAGGCUGAUACAUGGAAUUAUCUGAGACUGACAUAGAUCUCUGGCUCCCACAGUCCACAGCAAAGGAGGAAGCUGCAAGCAUGUUAAAUUAUUUAAUACUGAUGUUAUUUAGCAUAUCCUUAAAGUGCAAAAGUGGAAGCUCACAUUGUGGAGAGCCAAGAAAGCAGGGUGUGUCUCGCUGAAGGCACCCUAGCCCCGAAGGUAAGGCACUGAAGAUGUCAAACAUUGUCAAUUUGAAUCCAAAAUAUGAGCUGAGGCCUGAGAGAACAUAAAAAUUGUGCUUGAAGACUUUAAUGACCUAUUUGAAUACAAACUGACCUGUUAUUGGAGUCGUCGAUUACGAAAUUGUUCGCCACCAAAUUCCUAUGUAGAAUGAAACAUGUAAAAAAGAGUUAGAAGGCACUAUUGCAGAGAAUCAAGAGAAACCAAAGCAGGGACAAAAUUGAUUCAGUUUUUUAAGAUAAGCGAUAAGGUAAAGUACACAUCUGCUUGUUCAAAGAUUCUGAAUCAUAGAUGACGUCAAAUGCAAAAAGAAAAGAAAAAAAGAAAAAAUAAAUAUGGUCUAGGUGCAGCAAAAGCAGCCUUUUAGAUGUAGUUGAUAUUAAAAAAUGCUAGUUUAAUACAUGUGUAUGAUAUUGGAUUAUCUUUAAAAUAAUAGUAAUAGGGCUGAAUUUUCGGUCAGUCAAUCAAGCUUGCAAAACUCAGCACUUACAAUGUCAAAUUCGGACUAACCCAGGAGGGAAAGUUUCCUGAUAGCUGGUUGUAGGAAAAGUCUCUACACAAAACAAAGCGUGUAAAUGUUAUAGAUAAACGCCUUCCUGGUUUUACUUCACAAAUGAAAGUGGACAAACAUACAAGUUUUUAAGAGAAGUUCCUAUAGAACUUGGAAGGCUUCAUGAAAGACUAUUAUUCCCGAGAAACCUGGGCAGACCAAAUUUGCGCAUUAGCAAGAUUGAUGAUCAUUGUCAUCAGAACCUAGAAAUAAGUAUCAGAAGGCAAGAUAAACCAUACAAGAAGCUGAGUGAAUUCAGAUUCAGCAGAGCUUGCGGUACUAGGCCAGUAAUAUUGUUAAAACUCAAAUCCCUGUAACAGUAGAACAAAUGAGACUAGGAGAGAAAGGGGUCAUCAAACAAUGCAUAAUCCACAGCAGUUCAUUAAAGCAUCUAGCAAAACAUGCAGUUGACUGGAGUUUACGAAGAAACAAAAUGUCUUACAGUAGGGUUAAUGUUGCAAACUGUGAAAAGUUUACUGAUGCCAGGUUAUCAGAUAUCCUGCAGUUCCUCAAAACUCUGCAAUGAAACAUGUCAAGAGUUUUCGGAUUUAACAAUUUGGUUGCACUACAGCAAAUAUUAAGAUGUAGUUUUGAGUCAUCAAGUGAAUGACAAGUUAUGCAUACAAGAUGUUCAAAGAUGUCAUGUUACUGAUGAAUGCCAGUGAAGAACUCCCAUUUACUAUGUCACCUAUUCGUCUGAACCACAGAAGUAGAUAAUUAAUUCUUCUGUUCUGCAACCUUAAUACUUGACAAUGAUACUUAUCUACUCCCGCCAUCAGUAGUCACUUACAAGCUUGUCAGUUGGACAAGAUUAGAAAGAGUGGUUGGAAGUGGACCUUGAAAUGAAUUGCCUUGAAACCGUCUGCAAAAUUAUAGUUGUUGUUACUAGUGAAGAAAGAAGGAAGAUCCUGCUAGUACAAGGGUCACUUUCUUGGUAAAAAAAGUAAAUAGGUUUAUGCAGAUAGAAAUAUGAUCUGUUCCAUAAAAAAGAUAAUUAUUAGAAAAAUCAAUUCAAUAUUUUUAACACUAGUAUUUUUUAAUGGAACAGGAGGGGUUAGGACCCCUACUGGUUAUAUAUUCAGGAAAAAGGAGUCUUUUACAGAGCAAAAAGGAGAAAAAGGAAAAUCACAACAGAUUGUCAAGCCAUUCUGUGAUUCUAGGGAAAGACUUCUUUUUUCUCGAUGGAUAACCAUAGCAAAUUCAUACUUGAAAAUGUUUCUGCAACUCUCAACUGAAACUUGCUGUUGUUUGGAGAUUGCAUUGUUCCUUGUUGUCCAGAAUAUGUGGAACAGAACCGCAUUAUCAUGAAUAGUGAAAAAAUGUAAUAUUUACUAAAAUGAUGAAACCACCUCACAUCUGACCUUAUGUGGAUUAUUUUAAUAGGCCACUGAAUGGAGAUUUAGCAGAGUAAAAACUAUACUUAGCUAAUACCAUCUCAUUUAUGAGCACAAUGAGCCAGGGUUCAAAAUGAAUUUCAUACUUGAGAACUGUUGCAAACUGUACACAAUGUCUUUAAAGAAAUUAUCAACACCAUCUGAAAAGUAUAAGUUGUAAAUCUUACAGAUCUAAUAAAUUACUGAGGCUCCCAAUGUAAUCUGGUAUUUGCCCAGUAAAAUCAUUAUCUGAUGCCCACCUAAUCACAAAUAAGAAUAACGCAUAAGGUUAAAUGAAUAAUACUGUUGACAAAACAUCUUUUAUAGGCAUACAAUAUUUUCAUGCUUGUAAGCUUAGAAAAUGAUGGUGGUAGUGGACCACUUAAGCCAGAGCUGUCAAUAUAUCUGCAAGACAGAAAUAAACGAAUAAGAAUGUUAACAUGGUUUGGUAGAAGAAAAGGUAAGGACUACAGGGUGCCCAAAAUUAAUCAAAAUACGCACAGUUGCUCAAGUUUAACCAUGUUACCCAGUUCGGGAGGAAGGGAUCCAUUUAAGUUGUUCAUGCUUAUGCCCCUGAAAUCCCAAAAAAAAUGUCAGGUUAGUAGCAAAAGAUUUGUGACAGGAAACUUUCUUACCUUUCGAAGGAUGAAUACUUUUCCCGACAGAGGUCAACUAGUAGAAGGAAUGAAGGUGUGUUUUUUCUAUAAGCUUGAUGUCGAUAGCAUGUAUUCUCAACUUAAACUGUUCUUUAUUUGUUGAUUCUUACACAUUUAAAUAAAUUUAUAGGUACGUGUACAAAGCCAGGUCGAGAUUUAUAAAACUUUGUAGUUUGGACAUUAGCAAAGAUUUCUACUGAAAUAGGGCCAUGAAACAGAGAAGGUAAAUUACUUACAGGGAUACGAGAUUCACAAGCUUCCCAAGCUCCUUUGGAACAGAUCCAGAUAAUGCAUUAAUUGCAAGAUUCCUUGUAUGUUCAAGGGAGAUAGUUUAAGUUUCAAUGUUACCCAAAACAUGCGAUGUAGUAAUGUUAGGUUCUAAAUCUCACAAGUAUUGCAAAGCAGUCAGUUCCCCAAGGAACGAUGGUAUAGGCCCUGUUAAGUAAUUCCGCAUUAAGUUCCUAAAAAAACGUCAGAUCAGAUCAGAUGUAAACGAAAAAGGAUGGCUCUCAGUAGGUAUUAUAUUUAAAGAAAUUUUGAGCUUGAUGUGGGAGGCUACUACAAAGCAAUCCGCUGCUAUGAUAAUAUGAUAUGCCGUGGAACUGCGGGAAAUGACAAAGUCCACCAAUAAGUUGCGACUAAACAAUCUUAAUAUACACUUGGGAUACUUUGGCUCACUGACGAUUUCAAGAACGUUGAGAAUUCAUACAAAUUGGUCAAGUGCGUGAGGUUCCUCAGCUCUUCUGGUAUAGGACCUACCAGAUCCAAUGCGUACAUUUUCCUGCAGCAAUAACAGUGAAGCACCCAUCAGCUCGCACCAUCUCAAUUUAGCCUUCAUGGAUGUUUUUUUUUUGAAAUAAACCUUCAUGGAUGUUCGUCGUCAGACAAACACCACCAGGUUAUGGAGCGCCGUCAAAUAACCGCACAAGCAAUAGUUGCAGAGAUAAGGACGAUGCACUAGCCUGCCACACUCUGAGUGCACGAACUGCCACCUCAGGUGGGCAAAUUAGAUCAUCCAGCAACUGAUGGUGGGCGUACGGAUAGGUAGCGUGAGACACUUACAGCCUGGUGAUGUGGCAGACGGUGUUGUUCUGGUACGUGCAGUCGCAUUUGAUUCCCGGGUUCAAUUUUGGGCGAUUGUCGACGUCGGUGUCGUCCGUGGCCGCGCCGGCGCAAGGGUCGACGCCGCUGAACCAAGAUGGCCACAGUCUGCUCCCGAGUUUGUCAAACACCCCCUUCAGCGCAUCCGCUGCGAAUGAGACACAAACACGAAAACGCGAUCAAACAUCCUGCCCCUCGGCAGUCCGAGAAAAUUUUGCAAUAUGCUCCUAUGGUUUAAGAUAUUUAGACCCUGACUAUAACUUUUUGCAGGCCGAGAGCUUGCAUUGUGUGGCCGAGGGGGAUUGAUUUGUUUAGUAUUCAUGUGCUCUAAUGGUCGAGAGUAUUUUGGUGUUACAUAGCUGAUCUCCGAGAGUGAACAUGAUUUCCAGAGAAGCAAUCACCGACUAACCUUUACCGACCACAGAGAAUAUAUAAAAUAACAGAUCACCCUCAGGCACUCAACGCGAACUCUAGGCAAAAGUGGUGAAUCUAGUAGUGUACAGUGAUAGCUAGUCUUAAGCUUGUAAUACAUAAAAAGCAUUAUAAGUACCCUAAAAGCUUGGUGACAUGGUAACUUUUUUCUUUUUUAAUAAAAAAUAUAUAUCUAGUAGGAAUCUUAGUCCCCACCUGUUCCUAAAAAAGUACCAAGACUCUAGCAGUCCUACCUCGGGGCUUUCUUAUUUUUACAACAAAAAAAAAAGGCAAUGGGGGUACUAAUACUAUGCAGCAAGAGGUGAGAACAAGAUGACAUGAAGAUGCACAAAAAUAUUUGUGCUCGAGAUGAAAUCUGUCCUGCCCUGCAAUGGACUAUCCCACUCUUUCACAACCAAAAUUUAUGCUCGAACAAGAUGCUUUUACCUUUACUAUCGGUUUCAUGACUACACGCACGCCGGCCUACAUGUUGCCAGCACAGCACAUGCGCCAACCUGUUUUGUUACGCCAUCUCAGCCCAGGUCUGUGCCAGGCAAGCAGCACGAAAAUGUUUCUAUGUUUAGUAUCGAUUCCCUUUGUUUCAAAAUAGAGUUGAAUUUAGAUUUAUCCUAAAUCAAAUUUCUAUAAAUUUGAUAGGCAUCAACCUCUACAACAUCAAAUUAGUUUCAGUGAAUCCACCAUGAAAUAUCUUGACAGUGUAUUUUAUUUGGUAUUUUUUGAUGAAGUCAGUAGGAAAGCCACAACCUAUUUUUUUUAAUUUUUUAUUCUAGACCUGUUUAAUUCGCUUCCAAGAGGAGUCGAACUAAGGUCUGCUGGAUACUGCUCAAGUGCUCUAACCACUAGGCUAGAUGCACUUUUUUAUUUGGUAUUGUAGAUGUUAUUAUAUUUUUUUAUAAACUUAAUCAAAAUUAGAGAAAGUUUGAUUUAGUGAACUGAGCGUAGCCUAGCUGGUAAGGUCCCUUGUGGUGGAACCUGCUCAGUGGUAGGUGAUGUGCCCAUUGAUAGCGAGAUGUCAGUGGUGACUUCAUCAAUCUCGAGGAUUUACCGGUUCAAUUUUUCGGAGGUGCUCAUAGGGGUAAAGUUGCGUGCGUGUAUUCGUAGGGACGAGUGUGCGUACAUGUAUGUGAGCGUCUACGUCUGUGAUUCACAGUAAAAAAGAGAAAGUUUGACUUAGAAAAAACUAAUGAAAAAUAUUUUAGAAUGGAUGAAGUAAUCAAUUAGGUGCUGAUUUAUUUUUUUAAGACGUACAUAUGAGAAAGUUACCUAUCAAAUUAUUCUUACUAUAUUUGGUCAUUUAAAGACGACUCGUCAUGCUAGAUGACCGGAAGGAGUAGUAAAGAAUUAGUCUUAGACGACUCCACCGGAGACAGGCAAUGAAAACGACAACUAGCAAGUAACUACCACGACAAGCAGCCAUAAGGUGGUUGAAACUGCACAACAAGUCAACAACUAGCUCUCUAAGGAAGGUUGAUUUUUAGGGCAGUUCCAAAUCAUAGUUUCUAUGGGUAGUUUUUAUGUUCACAUAUCAUCAAGAUGCCACUUGUAGAUCUAAUCUCCCCAACCUAUAAUUUCUAUGGGUAGUUUCUACGUAUGAUUUCACGCAAGCAGCACAAACAAAGCUCGGUCAGCUGUGGCAAGCAACCGCGUAGCCUUCAUGCUGCCACAGUCCGAGCCAUUGAAAUUAAAAUAAAUUCAUUCGCAGCUGCUAUAAGAUCGAUCAACCUGGAAAGAGCCGCCAAGAGACGAUGCAGGCCAAAAUGCAGGAGCGAGAUGAGCGCUGGUUCGAUCAGUGCCUGGACAAAGUGCCAAAGUGGCGCUAGAAGCAACGGACGGAGAACUAGCGCCUGGAGAAAGCAACAGCAGCAGCACCAACAACUCGUCUGGAACUUGAAGAGGGCUUCCUCGAUUUCUUUUGAUGUACGCCUUUCUUCUCCAAUCGAUCCUUAGAAGCGGCGCGUGGGGAAUUGCUGGCGGAGGCUUGGUGCGCGGCCGCGCACGGGGGUGGCCAGCGGCGUCAGGCGGACACAAGCGCCGGAAAUUGGCACGCGCGAGCGAGGGAGGGGAUGGCCCGCGGCGCGCGCGUGAGGGAGGGUCGCGACGCGGCAGUAGCAGGCGCGCACGGAGCCUGGGGGUGGGUCGCGGCGCACAGCGGAUCGGGAAGAUGCGCAAGAAAACGAGGAAGAAAACCGUAACGCUGGCCCAACGCGAUUUCGGCGGUAUCUACGCACUUGAUUCGCGAGCUGACUCGGUUUCUAACAUGAGAAAAACAACGAUAUCUCGCUCUUUCUUCGUUAAAUCACCUGCCACGUCGUUAGCCCCCUUUGUCACGGCUCCUUGAGGAGCUUCUCCACCGGCUUCUCAAGGAGCCGUGUCAAACACUUUCUUCAAAACAGCUUCUCCGGCGAAACUGCCUAAAAACCUGUUGAGAGGAGCCAAAACGAGCAGGCGGAGCUAGGAAAAUGAGCUCCCCGCGGCUCCCUCAUCCAUCCUGCACCAUUCGGUACCAUAAUACCCCUGGAGUUUGCCGAAUUUACACCCAUUUUACCACUGCCUUCUUUUCUCUCUCUCCCCUAUCGCCCAUUAGUGGAGGAACGACGGGCGGCGACUAGCAGCGGGAGGUUCAAGCACCAGGAGGCGUGGCAGAGGUGGCCGGCAGUGGUACGCGGAAGCGGUGGCGGCUGGCAGCCGUAGGCAGCGCAGGCCAGGGAGAAAGAGAGGACGAAAAUAGAAAGGCAGCUGGCAGCACGCGUGGUGGCCAGAGAAGGAGGCUAGGGGGGUGGCCGGAGAAGGCAGCCAUGGGAGCGCGGCACGCCGGAGAAGGUGACGACAGGCGGCUGAUCUGGUGCAGUGAGGUGUAGGGUCGCGACACGGUAGUAGCAGGCAUGCACGGAGCCUGGGGGUGGGUCGCGGCGCACAACGCAUCGGGAAGAUGGGCAAGAAAACGAGGAAGGAAACCAUAACACUAGCCCAACGCGAUACCGGCGGUAUCUAUGCACUUUGGUGCGCGAGCCGACUCAGUUUCUCACCUGAGAAAAACGAUUUCUUACUCUUUCUUCUUCCCUGUUUGGUUCCUUUAGUGCAUAGACUGGACUAAACUUUAGUCCCACCCCUGUUUGGUUCCAUGGACUAAGGGGGUGUUUGGCUCCCAGGGGUCAAACUUUAGCCCCUGUCACAUCGGAUGUUUGGAUACUAAUUAGGAGUAUUAAACAUAGGCUAAUUACAAAACUAAUUGCACAGAUGGAGGCUAAUUCGCGAGACGAAUCUAUUAACCCUAAGUCCAUGAUUUGACAAUGUGGUGCUACAGUAACCAUUUGCUAAUGAUGAGUUAAUUAGGCUUAAUAGAUUCAUCUCGCGAAUUAGCCUAGGGCUUCUCUAAUUAGUUUUAUAAUUAACUCAUGUUUAGUCCUCCUAAUUAGCAUCCGAAUAUUUGAUGUGACAAAGGCUAAAGUUUAGCCCCUAGUAUCCAAACAACCCCUAAAAUGGACUAAAGUUCAUAAAUACUGUUAAACAAAGACCUUUUUACUCUUCUUCCCUACCCUCUUGGUAUCCCUGCGUCUACUCCUCCUCACACGGGAACUCUAACUACCGCUGGUUGAAGCUUCUCCAUCUCCAGCGCCAAUGGAGCACCGCCCGGGCAUGCCCAACCUACCCCGCCACAUGCGAACUCCCGCGCGGUGCAGGCAAGAUCCUUUGUGUGCCGGCGAGCAGUGGAGCGAGCAGAGGAUUGGCCCGAAUGGGGGAGCCUCGAAUCGGCGACAAGAUGGAGGCUCAUUGAUUCGGCCACAAGGUGAGCUCAAGGGGGCGUCGUGUUGAUUUGGACGCUGGGGAGGCUCGACGGGGUGGCGAUGUGUCGAUUUGACCGUCGGAGGACCCCGAGGGGGCGGCGGCAGUCCUUCUCAUCGCCUCUCCCCCAUGGCGGGCUAGCACCAUCGUACAUUGAAGCUCCGCCAGCCUAGCUGCAGGGCAAGCGAGCUUCGAUAGUGCGGCCACGGUACGGUCGAGCGCCACCGCGUAGGUGAGGGCAGCAGUGGGCCGGCGGCGAGGGGAGGGGAGCAGCGGUGGGUAGGCACGAGCGGAGGAGCAGCGGCCGGACGUGGGGAGAGCGGCGGCGUGGGGAGGAGAGCAGGAGGGAGGCGGGUGGUGAUGGCAGCGGGCGGCGACGGCAGCGAGUGGGAGGGAGGCCAGGUGGGAGGGAGGCGGCGGGCGGGAGGGAGCCGGGUGGGAAGGAGGGCAGUAAAUGAGGGGUAGGGGUGUCCCAACACCCUUUAGUCCAGUUUUGUGGAUUAGAGGACUAAAGCCUUUUGUUCAAACUUUAGUCCACUGUUUGGGUGUUUAGGGACUAAAAGUGCACCAAAACUUUAGUCUAUGAGAACCAAACACCCCCUGAAUCACCUCCCACAUCAUUAGAUUGCUGAGAUGGUAACACCCCCUGAAUCACCUUCCACAUCAUUAGAUUGCUAAGAUGGUACUGUAUUGAAUGAUAUAGAAAUUGGGUGACUUGAAGGUUGGGAAUGCCCUUAAUAUUUUCUCACUUGGAUCCCAAUUUCAUCUCGUGGGCUUGCUCUGUUAAGUUUCCUCUCAUGUGGUUGAAACAGCUUCGGCUGUGGCUUCUCUGAUGGAGCGGUUUUUUUAGCUCUAGUUUGCUUGAUUGGAAAAACAUUUGGCAAAACAGCUUCUCCUGAUUGUUUUAAAUGGAUAAAAAUGUGAAAUGUCCAUACUACCCUUACCUUUUUUUUCUUUUCUAUUUCUUUUCUUUUUUUUCAUUUUCCUUCCUCUUUUAUUGCUUUUUCCUCCACGGUUCCAACCGUUUCUUUCUGCCUACCUUAUCCUUUCGCUCCAUCCCAACGCCAACGCCCGCGCAUGCUGCUGCAGUGCCAUCCUCAUGCCCUACCGCGCCUAGGGGCAAACUGGAGACUUCGGCCUUGCGGAUGGGACGAAGCUGCGGGGAGUCAAUUUUAAUUUUUGGCUUCUCCUCCACUCUUAGCUCCUCUCAGCGCGAAUUGUGGGGCUCCAUCGGCGGAGCCGUUUCGUUCUUCCCCGUUUGGCAGCUAGGGCUGCUCAAGAAGUCCUGCCAAGAGGACCUUAUUCGUAGGCAAAACAUGAACGAAGUCAAAAGGCCAAAAAUCAUAACAUCGUACCAUUAAACGCACCCCUGUUGCCCUUCUACCCCCAAACAUUUGGAACGAGAUAGUUUCUUAGACGAAUCGGGCAGAUGAUUCUCUGGAACAUAUCAGGGAUGGCUUGCCUUGCCUUGCCGGGCAGAUGAUUCUUGGAAGAAAAUUACCGUGCCUUGCCAGGCUCGUGCCGGACCCUACUGGGGCCGCUCGUUUGGACAUCCAUAGCCAAGUGUGAAUUUUAUGGUGGGCAAGCAAAAGGCGAAACACGAUAUCGAUGGAUUGAUGCAAGCUGAUUUGAAACCCCCUCGCUAAUCUGAAAGAAAUAAGACAUGCACGCUUACCUUCAACCGGAUCGGUCCUUGUCCUCGCUUGCUGAGCUUGCGCAGAUGCAGCUAGAAGAAGCAGCAGCAGCAGCAACGUCGGGAGCGCAGCAGAGCCAUGGCGGCACGAACUGCUGGGUCCAGGCCUCCUCAUCUCCUUCCCCUCUCUCUGGCCUCGAGCUCGGGAUUGGCUGCCCCUUCCGAGGCCGAGCGGGAUAUAUGGUAACCUGAUGGAGACUCGGAUGGCGACUUGUCUCAGGCCCCGCCGCCGCGGUGGACACAUGCACCUCCCUCGACGCUGCGCCACCAUGCAAGGAUGGCGCAACUAGGGAAUUUUCUAUGGUCAAGUGGCGCCACUGCUCUGUCCAAGACUCCAAGCACAGUGGACGCGACGGGCCAACAACUACCUCCAGGCUCCCACAUGGAAGCAGAGCCGAAGGCGAUCGACGACGACGGUGACCGUGUUGUUCUGUGCGAGGAGACUUACAGCUUGGUGACGUGGCAGACGGUCGCCGCUGAUGUUCCAUGCCGACGCCGCCGUUUAGCACUUUCAUUAAAUAUUUUACAUAUUUUCGAUAAUGUGGUGAAAUUGUGUUUUCUAUGAAGGCUUGUGAACUUGAUAUUACAAAUAUUAUAUAAUUCCAUCAUAUGCGUUACACUAAAGAUUUUACCAGAAGCACAGGAAUCAAUGGGUGAUAUUGCUCCACCUCGAGUGCAGAGUGGGAGUGAACUUACAUGUUCUAAAAUAUAAACAAUAUAAACUCUUGUUACGCUGCUGGAGAGGAGGCAUCGCUGGAGUCGCACUUCGCCUCGUUGGACACGCAUCACCCCUCUGCUCUGUAUGGGUCUCUUUUGCGUAGCUCUUGCUGGCUCCAGCUCCAUUACUGUAGCACACUAUAGUUUAUCGUAGUGCGUGUCGGAUCUGGAGUUGGGGGGAGCAAUUUUUUCUAAAUUCACCGGCUCCUCCUCCAUAACUGUAGUACAAUGUAGCUAAUCGUAGCGCAUGUCAGAUAUGGAUUUUGACUCUUCACUACAGUACAGCACAACAGUGAUACAAGUAGCGUGACAUAGGAAACGAGAGCCGUGAGGGAGCGGUGCCAAAGGGGUCAUACGGGUGUCUUCCUCUAUUUUCUUUGCGACGGGAAGAGGUAAACAUAUGGGUGGGGCAUCAAGCUAAGUGCACGAGAUUGUGCUCUGAGAAAAUCUUGCUGCUUCUUUUUUUAAUCAUAGAUCGGGUUGGCAUCGUCCUGUCGUUCUGUCAUAAAUCAUAUAUAUAGAUCCGGAUAGACCAAACCCUCCAACAUCAUCAUUUGGUCCUGGCCUCAAAAAUCAAACCCGAAAAAGAAAAUCGAUCUAAGACGGGCGAAGCAACAAUCGAUCAGAGCACAUAACCUAACACAAAAUACGUGCAAAAGCUGAAUAUAUAUCCUCAGAACGUUUGUGACGUGCAUUUACAGAAAACUGUCCGUCAACUUGCAAAUCACCGGCCUUCUUCUCGGAGCUGUUAGAGGUUUAGGCAUUUUACGGCAUAUUUUAAUUCCGAAUAUUUCUAAGUAAAUUAUGGUUAUUGUGAGUGAUACAGAGCGUGUGCAAGUGUUUUGUUUAAAACACGUUUGAACGUAAACAGAACCAAAAGAAAGAACCAGAUAAGGUUCAGUAUGUACCUAGGGGCGGGAUCAUUGCCGAAGGCAAUGGGUGCGCCGUUCCUAGAACUGGAUGCAUCAGACAUUGUGUCUAAAAUGUCGGUUCGGGCUGUUCGAUGUAGUUGAUCAAAGUUGAUGCAGUGUCGAGUUGGUGCAGAGCAGUCCCUUGAACGGCCUCCAGGAUGUAGCAUGACGCGCAGAAGAUGCGCUUCCCCAAAACUUGAUCGCCUGCCUACUCGUGCAAGUGUCGCAGCAGGAUGAAGUUUCGGAGGCCUGCGCGUAGAGGCUCGCGAUGGGAAUGUCAAGAUAGCAGCGGGCAACAGCAAAAAAAAAGGGAGAGAUGCGCGUAGAGGCUCGCGAUGGGAAUGUCAAGAUAGCAGCAGGCAACAGCAAAAAAAAAGGGAGAGACGCGUGCGCGGCUCGACGAGGUGAGCAAGCGCGCACGGCACCCUUUCUCUCUUCCUCAACUUCUCAAUUAGUGCACACAUAGUCCACCUAUUUAAGUUGGUUAAGAUACUCUUAACUAUCCAGGUAGAAUUAACCACUUUAUCCAUCUAGCAUUACACGUGGAUCCUGAGAUUAAAUGAAUUAAAUCGGCCUAACCUGAAUAUUCCAACAGGAGCUAGCUAAUGAACGGCGAAGAGGUGUGCGACGAGGCGGCCCUUGGGGCCAAGCUCGACUGCCCGCUCAUAUUGCUGCUCAUGAAGCUGCUGGUGUUGCCUCCCUUGAUCUGCCAUUCGGUGAUGUAGCUGGGCUUGUUCACCACCUCGCCCACCUCCACGUCGUCCCCGGCCAGCAUCGACACAGCCCGAGACAUGGACGGCCGCUGGUGGGGCGAGCCCUGGGUGCAGAGCAGGGCCACGUGGAUGGCACGGAGCACCUCGUUGCUGUUGAAGUCAGCAAUACAGUUGCCAAACCUGAAAGCACAGAAAAUUAUCUAGAAAUGCUAAGAUGCCAGGCUAGCGUGACAUGUGUUUAGGGACGUUUCAUUUACCAAAUAUAAUCUCGUAGUAAUACCGUAUCCCUUAAUUUAUAGACGGGAUUAAAAUCAUUGGUGAGUUGCAUGGCAAUAAUAAGUAUAUCGGUGAAUGAGUAUUCUUUUUUUAAGUCAACGGGGGAGUGCCCCACCUGAUUCAUUAUAGACCAGCACGCUAGCACGCUUCCAUUAUUGGUGAGUUGUAUGGCAAUAAUAAGUAUAAGCCCCCUGCUCUUUUGGCUAGCACGCUUGCUCCCACCCAACAAGACAUUGUGCUCCACUAACUGUAUCUUCCCCGGACCACAGGAAACGUCAUCGUUGGCAAUUGAGAGCGUCAAUGUUCCCUGGGGGUAGAAGGAGCACUGACAUAGCGUAGGUAAGCUGGCUGUCCAUGACGCUAUUGAUCAGCACUGCAUGGCCCAUUGGAUUCAGUAGGGAGGCGUGCCAGCCGCUGAGAUGCCUGUCCGCUCUAGUGAUCAGAGGGCUGAACACGGACAGACGUAGCUUCUCGUGGGACAGUGGCAGCCCCAGGUAGGUUUGGGGGAAGCUGCCAAGUUGGCACCCAAGAAUACUUUGAAGCGCCGUGGUAGUCGAGCUGGAAGUGUUCAUUGGCAUCAUGGUACUCUUGUUGAAAUUGAUGUGCAGCCCCGUGGCCUCGCAGAACAGAUCAAGCACCUGCUUCAGCGCCACCAGCCCAUCUUGAUCUGCCUUGAGGAGGAUGAGGGUGUCAUCGGCAUAUUGGAGCACGGGGCACGGCUUCCCCGAGGUGGCAGGGUGUGAAAUCCUCUGGUCGAGCUUGAUCAUCUGCUGAAGGACGUCAGUGACCAGAAGGAACAACAGGUAGGGGGAUAGUGGAUCCCCCUGCCGUAGGCCUCUUCCACAGGCGAACCACGGGCCAGGAACACCAUUGACAAGGACAACAAGCUUCAAGGUUUGCAACAUGCUCGUGAUCCAGUUGCACCAGAGGGGCGGGAAGCCUCGCGCAUCCAUGAUGGCGUUGAGACUGAGACAAUCCACAGAGUCGAAGGCUUUGGCGAAAUCAAGCUUCAGAACCACGGUGGGUAGCUUGCGGCAGUGGCAGCACUGGACGAGCUCCAUCGCGUAGAUGAAGUUCUCAGAGAUCGAGUGCCCCUUGAUGAAUCCUGUCUGGUCUAGAUCAAUGAGGCGGGGGAUCUAGUGUUGCAGCCGCGUCGUCAGCAUCUUAGAGAUGAUCUUCAAGGAGCAAUUUUGCAGGCAGAUUGGGCGGUAGUCCCCCGGCGUUUUGUCAAGGAGACAGCGACCGCUUCGUACGAUUCCACUAACCGAUUCAAUGUAGCAACGACAGCUGCUUUCGUCACGGAUGUGCACCACGUCCAUGCGUUUGCAGGAAAGGGAGCGCAAAAAAAAAGAGAUAUUUUUGUGAACCGUACAGGCGGAUAUUACAAGGGCUGGGCCUAUUACAAGGCCCAAGGCCUGGUCACUCAUGACACAAAGCACGUUCGGUGAUAUGAAGCUGUGUGGUCCAGCCAAUUGCAAUUUACAGCCUUUUUUCGAGCGAAUUGGCAAUUCUUGUACACAUCCGAAUCGAAAUUUUUCCAAGUGAAUUUCCAAGAAACAAUCUUGGUCUUGGCAGAAGUUGAUCUUAACUUGCCGAUGGGCGAUGGUCAUCAAUCACCGGCCUUCAUCGAUGACGGAGCUCAGGGACAUGGCCUCCGCCCCCGGCUCCGAGCUCGACGUCCCCAUGGCGUUGCUCUGCCACUCGAUGACGUAACUGGGCUUAGUAACCGCCUCGGGCACCUCAAUGUCCCCGACGAGCAUCGACACCACCCUCGACAUGGGCGGGCGCUGCCGAGGUGAGCUUUGGAUGCAGAGGAGGCCAACGCGGAUGGCACGGAGCACCUCUUCGCUGUUGAAUUCUGUGAGCCUAGGGUCUGUGACGUCCAGAGGAUGGUCGUCCUCGUAAAGUUGCCAGACCUGAAAGCAUGAUAAGUUGGGGGACAAUUCAGAUCCAACUGUUUUUUUUUUCCUGUCGCAAUAGCAGAACAAAAAAACACACAAUCAUCAUUUUCAAGAUGGUUCCAAACAUUGAUCUUCUGCUGUGCAAGUACGCAACAAUAGGAUCCACAAUAAUACUACGGCCAUGCUAAAAUUUAACAAGAGAUGCCAGCCUCUAAUAACAAGUUCACAUAAUGACAUGUUGACUAGCAGUUUCUGCAAAAAAAAAAGGCAACUUUUCGCAAGUUUUUGGUUAGACUGUUUAAGUCCAAGGUUCGAUAAAACCCUUUGUCACCGGUCCGUGAAGGGACGUAUCUCCCUCUGAUCUAUUUUUUCCUUAAAAAUUCUAUGAGAAAAAUACUAUCUGGAACAAAAGAAAUUCAUAUAAUGAAAAAGUUCCAUCCAUGGGAAAAAAAGAAAGAAAGUACAAGUAUAAUCAUACCAUCUAAUAUAGUUAAUGUAUUUUUCUAAUAUAAAGCAUCAUGUUCUCUACCCACUCGUAAAAUUUAAAUCUAAAACUCAACUUGUACAUGAAAAAAAAAUAUUAUGAGGGAUAGGUCGGACCAACUAAAAUAGUUUGGGAUAGUAAAUUAAUCCAGAAUUUUGUUCAUAGGGUUAAACGGAAAAAGUGGAUUGCUUAGGGUAGUAUAAUUUUUCCAUUUUAUGUUUCUAUAGUCUAAAUAAUUGUUAAGUGCAGGGAAAGGAUUAGCUUUAUUGAUCUGUGGAACUAACACAAUGGCAACGACUGAGCUAGAUUCGCCCUCUGCAGAGGCUCUGAAUCUUAACAACUCAAUCCUUGCUUGCCUAUCAAUAAAGAACCAGCCGGCUUAUAUAUUGCUUGGUGCUAACAAACCAAAUCCUAAUUAACAGCUAUUGCUAACCUCCUGCCAUCUUAUCCAACAAAUCAGGCGCCUAACAUGCCGGAGCUGUUGCUGGCGCCGGCUUGCUGCGCCGCCUGUAGGUUCAGCCCACAAAAGCGUCCACAACAAUAAUACCUUAUAUUUUGAUAAAAAAUAGGUAUGUCUCAUCAACAAAUGAUUUUAGAAUGAUAUAAAUUGUGUAGUAUUGUAGGUGCGGGUACUAUUCAAACUUUAGCAGACUAAAAUUGUGGUUGUGUUUUUUUUUCUGCAGGUAAAAAAUCGUGGUUGUGUUUGAUUAAAAAAUCUCAUGAAUGCAUGUGUGCUUUGAUACUUUAAAUCACUCAUGAAUCUAGUGUGGAUUUUCCGACCCCAAUAGCAAAGGAAAAAGAGUGGAACAUUGCAUGACCUGGAUCUCAAUUGUACAGUGACCUUACCCAUUCUAAAAGAUAUGCUUUGUCUUCACCAAGCCUACCAUCAUAGUUUGGCCUUCCAGCUAUAGUCUCCAAUAUGACCACACCAAAAGCAAACACAUCAACUUUCUCACUCAUAUGACCUCUCAUGGCGUACUCAGGUGCAAGAUAUCCACUUGACGAAAACAGCAAAAAGAUCACCAUUAGCUCACAAAGUUAACGAAACUAAUAUAGUGUGUCAAGAUGCGUAAGGGGGAGAAGGUUGGAGAUGUGCUUACAAUGUACCAGCAACUUUUGUGCUGAUAUGCGUGUUCUUGUCAUCAUAAAGUUUGGCGAGACCAAAAUCAGAUAUCUUAGAAUUAAGAUUGGCAUCAAGUAAGACAUUACUAGCCUUUAUAUCCCUAUGCACAACACGGAUGCUAGACUCUUCAUGGAGGUAAGCCAGGCCUCUUGCAAUGCCCAAACAUAUCUCAAAGCGUGUUGGCCAGUCCAGGUUCAAUCUCCCAUUUCCUACCAAUGAAGAAUAAUUUUCAGAUUUAUGUAAGAAACCUGAACUCUUUGCACUUGCAUCGAAUUGAAUGAAACAUUACCGAACAAUGCUUUAUCAAGGCUUCCGUUGUCUAGAUACUCGUAAACCAACAAUGGGUUAUUGCCUUCAAGGCAGCAACCAUACAACUUCACGAGAUUACGGUGUUGCACUUGAGAAAUAGUUUCUAUUUCUGUUAUGAAUUGCUUCUUCCCCUGACGGGAUGUUUCAGAUAGUAGUUUUACUGCCACUACACUUCCAUCGGAUAAUUUACCCUGCCAGAAGGUAUCAUUUUUAAAAAUGCAUGUUUUAAGUAUCAGCGUUACCAUAUGUAUACUGUAAUGAAGAAAAUGAAGAAGACAACCACAACAAAAAGAAAAAGAAAUCAGUAGGGAGCAUAUGUAUAUAUUUUUUUGAAAUAAAUAUGUAUAGAUUUGUAUUAGUAAAAAGAACGGGAGAAGCAUGUGCAGUGAGAAAAAGAAUUCACAUUGCCCAAAAGUAGAGAUAAAAUAAAAGAGGUCUAGCCAAUUUGCAUAAAGAAACAGAUCAGUGUCAAAAAAUUCACAGAAAGUAAAAUUUAACAGAAAAUUGUCAUCCAUGUGUACUACAUAUGAACUAACCUUAUAAACUGACCCAUACCCUCCUUCGCCGAGAAAGUUACUGGAAUUAAAAUUUUCACUAGCGGUCUUUAGUUCACCAUAACUGUAAGUGAAUAAAUUAGGUCUUCCAACAGUAUUGUACAGGUCUGCAAGGAUGACAAGCAAUAAAUUCAUGAACACAACCAAUGUUUGUUUAAAGAAUACAUUGUGAGCAUAGUGUAUCAUGUACCUUGUUGCUCCAAAGACAGUUUUCUACUUUUCUGCCUCCGGACAUACAGUCCAGUGAGCACUAUUAGUCCUACAACUACUGCACCAACCGCAGCUCCAACAAUUGCACCUGUUUUAUUCUUACUUCUCUUCCGAGCAGCAUUAGGUGCUGUAAUCGUGAAGUAUGUCAGAUUCAAAAAAAGCUCACUUGUUGGAAUAAGACAGUGAUCUUACAAAGAAUCAGCAUAUUUUGACUCUGAAGUUUAUGUUAUGUUCUCCUUUACUCAUUUUUAUUUUGGAAUUCAGAUGAGAAUAUUUGCACAAUUUAGAAUAGAUAUGCACGAUUAGUAUAUAUUUAUGCAUAGGUUUAAUUGUCAGCAUGUUUAAUUGUCAGCAUUUCUCAUGGUCGAAACUAUAUGCACAAGUCGACCAAAGAAGGCUGUGGUCAACAGCCCGUAAUUCAACACCCGAUCCGUUGAAGAUGGACCGUAAAAGAUGUCAAUGGGAAGGCUGCUGCUGUCACUACUGACGUUGGUGAUCUCCGUUUCCUGCAAGUUCAUUUCGUUUACUUCUGUCACUACUGACGUCACCCGAUCCGUUUCCUUCUACUACAUCUCACCUGCACCAAGCAGGCAUAUGGAUCUUCGCUAAAGCCUAACACAGCUUCUCCAAGUUCAUUUCAAGUCUAUCUAUUCACUAUUAGAUUUAGGUGAUCACACUCAUGCGAGUUUAGUUGGUCCCGUUGCAAUGCAUACGGACCGGGUAUCCCCCUGGAAUUCUAAAAAAAAAACUCAUGCGAGUUUAGACCUAACAAGAUGGUGUUAGAAUCAUGUGAUUUGAAGCAAAUGGGAGAGAGAGUACCUGGAGUUACACUCAAAGCUGAGAUUAAAGGCCCGUAGUGGCCUUGAGUAGGGAUGCAACAAGUGCCCUUGCCAGCCCAGAACAGAUGAAUUUCAAGGAAGUUUCUAGUGACAGGAAUAAUAUAUUGCUUCUGGACAGCAGCGUAAGAUCCUCUUGCUUCCUUUCUUAUGUCAAAGUUCUGCUCCUUCCGCUCACCCUUUACCAAAAUAAAAAACUCGUGACCAGCUCAAGCUAAAAUGUAAAAACCAAGGGUAGGUUAUUAGUACGACUGGAACUAACCUACCUGUAUAUAGAUAUCAAAAACUCUUUUACCUAAACUUUGCCAAGUCCGUGAGUCCUCAAAGCUAAUCUCUGCAAAUUGAAGCGUUACUACAUAGUUUCCGUUCUCAAGUCCAAUGCCAAAGUAUCUUAAAGACGAAGGCGACAUCCUUGCUCUCUGGAACAGUUCUGAAUCUGGGGUAUUCCGAAACAGGCGUGUUGAGGUGUAUACUGUGUAACUUGCAUUUGAGCUUUGUAUUAUGUAAUCUCUUUCAAAUGCCUCCAUGAACCUCCCAACAUUGCUAACACCCCAUGUUGGUGCUCCUGUAACAUAAUAGGAUGCAGGUCCAAGAUUGGCAUCAUCAGGCAGAUACACGGAACCAUCUGAUCCUGACAUUGAACUACUGCUCCCGCAGUCCACAGCAAAGGAGGUAGCUGCAAGCAUGUUGAAUUAUUUAAUACUGAUGUUAAUUUAGCUAAGUAGACGCACGUUGCAGAAGCUAGAAGCUCACUUUGUGGAGAGCCAAGAAAGCAGGGUGUGUCUCGCUGAAGGCACUCCAGCCCCGAAGGUAAUAAGACACUGCAGAUGUCAAACAUUGACAUUUUGAAUUCAAAAUACGAGCUUAGAGAACAAUAAUUGUACAUGAAGACUUUGAGGAGCUAUUCGAAUGUAAACUGACCUGUUAUUGGAGUUGCUGACCACGAAAUUGUUUGCCACCAAAUUCCUAUGUACAAUGAAACAUGGAAAAAAGGCACCGUUCAUACUUCAGAGCAUAGAGGGUUUGUUUUAUAAGACAAAUAAAAGCAGGGACAAAUAACUGAUUCAUUUUUUCAGCGAAACUGUAAUGAAAAGUAAUUCUCCUUCAUUAAAGAUUCUGAAUUAUAUGUGGCUUAGAUUCUGAAUCAUAGAUGACGUCAAAUGCAAAAAGAAAAAGAAACAAAGAAAAAAGAAAUAUGAUCUAGGUGCAGCAAAAGCAGCUUUUUAGAUGUAGUUGAUAUUAAAAAAUGCUAGUUUAAUACAUGUGUACGAUAUUGGAUUUUCGGUCAGUCAAUCAAGCUUGCAAAACUCAGCACUUACAAUGUCAAAUUCGGACUAACCCAGGAGGGAAAGUUUCCUGAUAGCUGGUUGUAGGAAAAGUCUCUACACAAAAGAAAGCAUGUAAAUGUUAUAGAUAAACGCCUUCCUGGUUUUACUUCACAAAUGAAAGUGGACAAACAUACAAGUUUUUAAGAGAAGUUCCUAUAGAACUUGGAAGGCUUCCUGAAAGACUAUUAUUCCCGAGAAACCUGGGCAGACCAAAUUUGCGCAUUAGCAAGAUUGAUGAUCAUUGUCAUCAGAACCUAGAAAUAAGUAUCAGAAGGCAAGAUAAACCAUACAAGAAGCUGAGUAUAUUCAGAUUCAGCAGAGCUUGUGGUACUUGGCCAGUGAUAUUGUUAAAACUCAAAUCCCUGUAACAGUAGAACAAAUGAGACUAGGAGAGAAAGGGGUCAUCAAACAAUGCAUAAUCCACAGCAGUUCAUUAAAGCAUCUAGCAAAACAUGCAGUUGACUGGAGUUUAGGAAGAAACAAAAUGUCUUACAGUAGGCUUAAUUUUGCAAACUGUGAAAAGUUUACUGAUGCCAGGUUAUCAGAUAUCCUGCAGUUCCUCAAAACUCUGCAAUGAAACAUGUCAAGAGUUUUCGGAUUUAACAAUUGGUUACACUACAGAAAAUAUUAAGAUGUAGUUUGAGUCAUCAAAUGAAUGGCAAGUUAUGCAUACAAGGUGUUUAAAGAUGUCAUGUUACUGAUGAAUGCCAGUGAAGAACUUCCAUUUACUAUGUCACCUAUUCGUCUGCACCACAGAAAUAGAUAAUCAAUUCUUCUGUUCUGCAACCUUAAUAUUUGACAAUGAUACUUAUCUACUCCCGCCAUCAGUAGUCACUUACAAGCUUGUCAGUUGGACAAGAUUAGAAAGAGUGGUUGGAAGUGGACCUUGAAAUGAAUUGCCUUGAAACCGUCUGCAAAAUUAUAGUUGUUGUUACUAGUGAAGAAAGAAGGAAGAUCCUGCUGGUACAAGGGUCACUUUCUUGGUAAAAAAAGUAAAUAGAUUUAUGCAGAUAGAAAUAUGAUCUGUUCCAUAAAAAAGAUAAUUAUUAGAAAAAUCAAUUCAAUAUUUUUAACACUAGUAUUUUUUUAAUGGAACAGGAGGGGUUAGGACCCCUACUGGUUAUAUAUUCAGGAAAAAGGAGUCUUUUACAGAGGAAAAAGGAGAAAAAGGAAAAUUACAACAGAUUGUCAAGCCAUUCUGUGAUUCUAGGGAAAGACUUCUUUUUUUGCUCGAUGGAUAACCAUAGAAAAUUCAUACUUGAAAAUGUUUCUGCAACUCUCAACUGAAACUUGUUGUUGCCUGGAGAUUGCAUUGUUCCUUGUUGUCCAGAAUAUGUGGAACAGCACCGCAUCAUCAUGAAUAGUGAAAAAUGUAAUAUUUACUAAAAUGAUGAAACCACCUCACAUCUGACCUUAAGUGGAUUAUUUUAAUAGGUCACUGAAUGGAGAUUUAGCAGAGUAAAAACUACAAACUACACUUAGCUAAUACCAUCUCAUUUAUGAGCACAAUGAGCCAGGGUUCAAAAUGAAUUUCAUACUUGAGAACUGUUGCAAACUGUACACAAUGUCUUUAAAGAAAUUAUCAACACCAUCUGAAAAGUAUAAGUUGUAAAUCUUACAGAUCUGAUAAAUUACUGAGGCUCCCAAUGUAAUCUGGUAUUUGCCCAGUAAAAUCAUUAUCUGAUGCCCACCUAAUCACAAAUAAGAAUAACGCAUAAGGUUAAAUGAAUAAUACUGUUGACAAAACGUCUUUUAUAGGCAUACAAUGUUUUCAGGCUUGUAAGCUUAGAAAAUGAUGGUGGUAGUGGACCACUUAAGCCAGAGCUGUCAAUAUAUCUGCAAAACAGAAAUAAAAGAAUAAGAAUGUUAACAUGGUUUGGUAGAAGAAAAGGUAAGGACCACAGGGUGCCCAAAAUUAAUCAAAAUACGCACAGUUGCUCAAGUUUAACCAUGUUACCCAGUUCGGGAGGAAGGGAUCCAUUUAAGUUGUUUAUGCUUAUGCCCCUGAAAUCCCAAAAAAAAUGUCAGGUUAGUAGCAAAAGAUUUGUGACAGGAAACUUUCUUAUCUUUCGAAGGAUGAAUACUUUUCCCGACAGAGGUCAACUAGUAGAAGGAAUGAAGGUGUGUUUUUUCUAUAAGCAUGAUGUCGAUAGCAUGUAUUCUCAACUUAAACUGUUCUUUAUUUGUUGAUUCUUACACAUUUAAAUAAAUUCAUAGGUACGUGUACAAAGCCAAGUCGAGAUUUAUAAAACUUUGUAGUUUGGACAUUAGCAAAGAUUUCUACUGAAAUAGGACCAUGAAACAGAGAAGGUAAAUUUCUUACAGCGCUAUGAGAUUCACAAGCUUCCCAAGCUCCUUUGGAACAGAUCCAGAUAAUGCAUUCAUUGCAAGACUCCUUGUAUGUUCAAGGGAGAUAGUUUAAGUUUCAAUGUUACCCAAAACAUGCGAUGUAGUAAUGUUAGGUUCUAAAUCUCACAAGUAUUGCAAAGCAGUCAGUUCCCCAAGGAACGAUGGUAUAGGCCCUGUUAAGUAAUUUUGCAUUAAGUUCCUAAAAAACGUCAGAUCAGAUCAGAUGUAAACGAAAAAGGAUGGCUCUCAGUAGGUAUUAUAUUUAAAGAAAUUUUGAGCUUGAUGUGGGAGGCUACUACAAAGCAAUCCGCUGCUAUGAUAAUAUGAUAUGCCGUGGAACUGCGGGAAAUGACAAAGUCCACCAAUAAAUUGCGACUAAACAAUCUUAAUAUACACUUGGGAUACUUUGGCUCACUGACGAUUUCAAGAAAGUUGAGAAUUCAUACAAACUGGUCAAGUGCGUGAGGUUCCUCAGCUCUUCUGGUAUAGGACCUGCCAGAUUCAAUGCGUACAUUUUCCUGCAGCAAUAACAGUGAAGCACCCAUCAGCUCGCACCAUCUCAAUUUAGCCUUCAUGGAUGUUCGUCGUCAGACAAACACCACCAGGUUAUGGAGCGCCGUCAAAUAACCGCACAAGCAAUAGUUGCAGAGAUAAGGACGAUGCACUAGCCUGCCACACUCUGAGUGCACGAACUGCCACCUCAGGUGGGCAAAUUAGAGCUGAUGGUGGGCGUACGGAUAGGAAGCGUGAGACACUUACAGCCUGGUGAUGUGGCAGACGGUGUUGUUCUGGUACGUGCAGUCGCAUUUGAUUCCCGGGUUCAUUUUUGGGUCAUUGUCGACGUCGGUGUCGUCCGUGGCCGCGCCGGCGCAAGGGUCGACGCCGCUGAACCAAGAUGGCCACAGUCUGCUCCCGAGUUUGUCAAACACCCCCUUCAGCGCAUCCGCUGCGAAUGAGACACAAACACGAAAACGCGAUCAAACAUCCUGCCCCUCGGCAGUCCGAGAAAAUUUUGCAAUAUGCUCCUAUGGUUUAAGAUAUUUAGACCCUGACUAUAACUUUUUGCAGGCCGAGAGCUUGCAUUGUGUGGCCGAGGGGGAUUGAUUUGUUUAGUAUUCAUGUGCUCUAAUGGUCGAGAGUAUUUUGGUGUUACAUAGCUGAUCUCCGAGAGUGAACAUGAUUUCCAGAGAAGCAAUCACCGACUAACCUUUACCGACCACAGAGAAUAUAUAAAAUAACAGAUCACCGCCAGGCACUCAACGCGUACUCUAGGCAAAAGUGGUGAAUCUAGUAGUGUACAGUGAUAGCUAGUCUUAAGCUUGUAAAACAUAAAAAGCAUUAUAAGUACCCUAAAAGCUUGGUGACAUAGUAACUUAUUUCUUUUUUAAUAAAAAAAUAUAUAUCUAGUAGGAAUCUUAGCCCCCACCUGUUCCUAAAAAAGUACCAAGACUCUAGCAGUCCUACCUCGGGGCUUUCUUAUUUUACAACAAAAAAAAAGGCAAUGGGGGUACUAAUACUAUGCAGCAAGAGGUGAGAACAAGAUGACAUGAAGAUGCACAAAAAUAUUUGUGCUCGAGAUGAAAUCUGUCCUGCCCUGCAAUGGACGAUUCCACUCUUUCACAACCAAAAUUUAUGCUCGAACAAGAUGCUUUUACCUUUACUAUCGGUUUCAUGACUACACGCACGCCGGCCUACAUGUUGCCAGCACAGCACAUGCGCCAACCUGUUUUGUUACGCCAUCUCAGCCCAGCCAGGUCUGUGUCAGGCAAGCAGCACGAACAUGUUUCUAUGUUUAGUAUCGAUUCCCUUUGUUUCAAAAUAUAGUUCAAUUUAGAUUUAUCCUCAAUCAAAUUUCUAUAAAUUUGAUAGGCAUCAGCAUCUACAACAUCAAAUUAGUUUCAGUGAAUCCACCAUGAAAUAUCUAUUUCAUGAUAGUGUAUUUUAUUUGGUAUUUUUUGACGAAGUCAGCAGGAAAGCCUCAACCUAUUUUUUUAAUUUUUUAUUCUAGAUCUGUUUAAUUCGCUUCCAAGGGGAGUCGAACUCGAACUCAGGUCUGCUGGAUACUGUUCAGGUGCUCUAACCACUAGGCUAGAUGCACUUUCACUAUUUUAUUUGGUAUUGUAGAUGUUAUUAUAUUUUUUUAUAAACUUAAUCAAAAUUAGAGGAAGUUUGAUUUAGUGAACUGAGCGUAGCUCAGCUGGUAAGGUCCCUUGUGGUGGAACCUGCUCAGUGGUAGGUGAUGCGCCCAUUGAUAGCGAGACGUCAGCGGUGACUUCAUCAAUCUCGAGGAUUUACCAGUUCAUUUUUCGGAGGUGCUCAUAGGGGUAAGGUUGCGUGCGUGUAUUCGUAGGGGCGAGUGUGCGUACAUGUAUAUGAGCGUCUACGUCUGUACUUAUGAUUCGCACUUAUGAUUCGCAGUAAAAAAGAGAAAGUUUGAUUUAGAAAAAACUAAUGAACUAUAUUUUAGAAUGGACUAAGUAAUCAAUUAGGUGCUGAUUUAUUUUUUUAAGACGUACAUAUGAGAAAGUUACCUAUCAAAUUAUUCUUACUAUAUUUGGUCAUUUAAAGACGACUCGUCAUGCUAGAUGACCGGAAGGAGUAGUAAAGAAUUAGUCUUAGACGACUCCACCGGAGACAGGCAAUGAAAACGACAACUAGCAAGUAACUACCACGACAAGCAGCCAUAAGGUGGUUGAAACUGCACAACAAGUCAACAACUAGCUCUCUAAGGAAGGUUGAUUUUUAGGGCAGUUCCAAAUCAUAGUUUCUAUGGGUAGUUUUUAUGUUCACAUAUCAUCAAGAUGCCACUUGUAGAUCUAAUCUCCCCAACCUAUAAUUUCUAUGGGUAGUUUCUACGUAUGAUUUCACGCAAGCAGCACAAACAAAGCUCGGUCAGCUGUGGCAAGCAACCGCGUAGCCUUCAUGCUGCCACAGUCCGAGCCAUUGAAAUUAAAAUAAAUUCAUUCGCAGCUGCUAUAAGAUCGAUCAACCUGGAAAGAGCCGCCAAGAGACGAUGCAGGCCAAAAUGCAGGAGCGAGAUGAGCGCUGGUUCGAUCAGUGCCUGGACAAAGUGCCAAAGUGGCGCUAGAAGCAACGGACGGAGAACUAGCGCCUGGAGAAAGCAACAGCAGCAGCACCAACAACUCGUCUGGAACUUGAAGAGGGCUUCCUCGAUUUCUUUUGAUGUACGCCUUUCUUCUCCAAUCGAUCCUUAGAAGCGGCGCGUGGGGAAUUGCUGGCGGAGGCUUGGUGCGCGGCCGCGCACGGGGGUGGCCAGCGGCGUCAGGCGGACACAAGCGCCGGAAAUUGGCACGCGCGAGCGAGGGAGGGGAUGGCCCGCGGCGCGCGCGUGAGGGAGGGUCGCGACGCGGCAGUAGCAGGCGCGCACGGAGCCUGGGGGUGGGUCGCGGCGCACAGCGGAUCGGGAAGAUGCGCAAGAAAACGAGGAAGAAAACCGUAACGCUGGCCCAACGCGAUUUCGGCGGUAUCUACGCACUUGAUUCGCGAGCUGACUCGGUUUCUAACAUGAGAAAAACAACGAUAUCUCGCUCUUUCUUCGUUAAACCACCUGCCACGUCAUUAGCCCCCUUUGUCACGGCUCCUUGAGGAGCUUCUCCACCGGCUUCUCAAGGAGCCGUGUCAAACACUUUCUUCAAAACAGCUUCUCCGGCGAAGCUGCCUAAAAAUCUGUUGAGAGGAGCAAAACGAGCAGGCGGAGCUAGGAAAAUGAGCUCCCCGCGGCUCCCUCAUCCAUCCUGCACCAUUCGGUACCAUAAUACCCCUGGAGUUUGCCGAAUUUACACCCAUUUUACCACUGUCUUCUUUUCUCUCUCUCCCCUAUCGCCCAUUCGUGGAGGAACGACGGGCGGCGACUAGCAGCGGGAGGUUCAAGCACCAGGAGGUGUGGCAGAGGUGGCCGGCAGUGGUACGCGGAAGCGGUGGCGGUGGCGGCUGGCAGCUGUAGGCAGCGCGGGCCAGGGAGAAAGAGAGGAGGAAAAUAGAAAGGCAGCUGGCAGCACGCGUGGUGGCCAGAGAAGGAGGCUAGGGGGGUGGCCGGAGAAGGAAGCCAUGGGAGCGCGGCACGCCGGAGAAGGUGAUGACAGGCUGAUCUGGUGCAGGGAGGUGCAGGGUCGCGAUGCGGUAGUAGUAGGCAUGCACGGAGCCUGGGGGUGGGUCGCGGCGCACAGCGCAUCGGGAAGAUGGGCAAGAAAACGAGGAAGGAAACCAUAACACUGGCCCAACGCGAUACCGGCGGUAUCUAUGCACUUUGGUGCGCGAGCCGACUCAGUUUCUCACCUGAGAAAAGCGAUUUCUUACUCUUUCUUCUUCCCUGUUUGGUUCCUUUAGUGCAUAGACUGGACUAAACUUUAGUCCCACCCCUGUUUGGUUCCAUGGACUAAGGGAGUGUUUGGCUCCCAGGGGUCAAACUUUAGCCCCUGUCACAUCGGAUGUUUGGAUACUAAUUAGGAGUAUUAAACAUAGGCUAAUUACAAAACUAAUUGCACAGAUGGAGGCUAAUUCGCGAGACAAAUCUAUUAACCUUAAGUCCAUGAUUUGAUAAUGUGGUGCUACAGUAACCAUUUGCUAAUGAUGAGUUAAUUAGGCUUAAUAGAUUCAUCUCGCGAAUUAGCCCAGGGCUUCUCUAAUUAGUUUUAUAAUUAACUCAUGUUUAGUCCUCCUAAUUAGCAUCCGAAUAUUUGAUGUGACAAAGGCUAAAGUUUAGCCCCUAGUAUCCAAACAGCACCUAAAAUGGACUAAAGUUCAAAAAUACUGUUAAACAAAGACCCUUUUACUCUUCUUCCCUACCCUCUUGGUAUCCCUGCGUCUACUCCUCCUCACACGGGAACUCCAACUACCGCUGGUUGAAGCUUCUCCAUCUCCAGCGCCAGUGGAGCACCGCUCGAGCAUGCCCAACCUACCCCGCCACAUGCGAACUCCCGCGCGGUGCAGGCAAGAUCCUUUGUGUGCCGGCGAGCAGUGGAGCGAGCAGAGGAUUGGCCCGAAUGGGGGAGCCUCGAAUCAGCGACAAGAUGGAGGCUCAUCGAUUCGGCCACAAGGUGAGCUCAAGGGGGCGUCGCGUUGAUUUGGACGCUGGGGAGGCUCGAUGGGGUGGCAAUGUGUCGAUUUGACCGUCGGAGGACCCCGAGGGGGUGGCGGCAGUCCUUCUCAUCGCCUCUCCCCCAUGGCGGGCUAGCACCAUCGUACAUUGAAGCUCCGCCAGCCUAGCUGCAGGGCAAGCGAGCUUCGAUAGUGCGGCCACGGUACGGUCGAGCGCCACCGCGUAGGUGAGGGCAGCAGUGGGCCGGCGGCGAGGGGAGGGGAGCAGCGGUGGGUAGGCACGAGCGGAGGAGCAGCGGCCGGACGUGGGGAGAGCGGCGGCGUGGGGAGGUGAGCAGGAGGGAGGCGGGUGGUGAUGGCAGCGGGCGGCGACGACAACGAGUGGGAGGGAGGCCAGGUGGGAGGGAGGCGGCGGGCGGGAGGGAGCCGGGUGGGAAGGAGGGCAGUAAAUGAGGGGUAGGGGUGUCCCAACACCCUUUAGUCCAGUUUUGUGGAUUAGAGGACUAAAGCCUUUUGUUCAAACUUUAGUCCACUGUUUGGGUGUUUAGGGACUAAAAGUGCACCAAAACUUUAGUCUAUGAGAACCAAACACCCCCUGAAUCACCUCCCACAUCAUUAGAUUGCUGAGAUGGUAACACCCCCUGAAUCACCUUCCACAUCAUUAGAUUGCUAAGAUGGUACUGUAUUGAAUGAUAUAGAAAUUGGGUGACUUGAAGGUUGGGAAUGCCCUUAAUAUUUUCUCACUUGGAUCCCAAUUUCAUCUCGUGGGCUUGCUCUGUUAAGUUUCCUCUCGUGCGGUUGAAACAGCUUUGGUUGUGGCUUCUCUGAUGGAGCGGUUUUUUUAGCUCUAGUUUGCUUGAUUGGAAAAACGUUUGGCAAAACAGCUUCUCUUGAUUGUUUUAAAUGGAUAAAAAUGUGAAAUGUCCAUACUACACUUACCUUUUUUUUCUUUUCUAUUUCUUUUCUUUUUUUUCAUUUUCCUUCCUCUUUUAUUGCUUUUUCCUCCACGGUUCCAACCGUUUCUCUCUGCCUACCUUAUCCUUUCACUCCAUCCCAGCGCCAAUGCCCGCGCAUGCUGAUGCGCCUCCAUCCUCAGGCCCUACCGCGCCUAGGGGCAAACUGGAGACUUCGGCCUUGCGGAUGGGACGAAGCUGCGGGGAGCCAAUUUUUUUUGGCUUCUCCUCCACCCUUAGCUCCUCUCAGCGCGAAUUGGGGGCUCCAUCGGUGGAGCCGUUUCGUUCUUCCCCGUUUGGCAGCUAGGGCUGCUCAAGAAGCCCUGUCCAAGAGGACCUUAUUCGUAGGCAAAACAUGAACGAAGUCAAAAGGCCAAAAAUCAUAACAUCAUACCAUUAAACGCACCCCUGUUGCCCUUCUACCCCAAACAUUUGGAACGAGAUAGUUUCUUGGACGAAUCGGGCAGAUGAUUCUCUAGAACAGAUCAGGGAUGACUUGCCUUGCCUUGCCGGGCAGAUGAUUCUUGGAAGAAAAUUACCGUGCCUUGCCAGGCUCGUGCCGGACCCUACUGGACCGCUCGUUUGGACAUCUAUAGCCAAGUGUGAAUUUUAUGGUGGGCAAGCAAAAGGCCAAACACGAUAUCGAUGGAUUGAUGCAAGCUGAUUUGAAACCCCCUCGCUAAUUUGAAAGAAAUAAGACAUGCACGCUUACCUUCAACCGGAUCGGUCCUUGUCCUCGCUUGCUGAGCUUGCGCAGAUGCAGCUAGAAGAAGCAGCAGCAGCAGCAACGUCGGGAGCGCAGCAGAGCCAUGGCGGCACGAACUGCUGGGUCCAGGCCUCCUCAUCUCCUUCCCCUCUCUCUGGCCUCGAGGUCGGGGUUGGCUACCCCUUCCGAGGCCGAGCGGGAUAUAUGGUGACCUGAUGGAGACUCUUAUGGCGAUUAGCUUGUCUCAGGGCCCCGCCGCCGCGGCAGACACGUACAGCUCCCUCGACGCUGCGCCACCAUGCAAGGACGGCGCAAUUAGGGAAUUUUCUAUGGUCAAGUGGCGCCACUGCUAUGUCGAACGCGACGGGCCAACAACUACCUCCAGGCUCCCACAUGGAAGCAGAGCCGAAGGCGAUCGACGACGACGGCUGACCGUGUUGUUCUGUGCGAGGAGACUUGCAGCUUGGUGACGUGGCAGACGGUCGCCGCUGAUGUUCCAUGCCGACGCCGCCGUUUAGCACUUUCAUUAAAUAUUUUACAUAUAUUCAAUAAUGUGGUGAAAUUGUGUUUUCUAUGAAGGCUUGUGAACUUGAUAUUACAAAUAUUAUAUAAUUCCAUCAUAUGCGUUACACUAAAGAACCAGAAGCACAGGAAUCAAUGGGUGAUAUUGCUCCACCUCGAGUGCAGAGUGGGAGUGAACUUACAUGUUCCAAAAUAUAAACAAUAUAAACUCUUGUUACGCUGCUGGAGAGGAGGCAUCGCUGGAGUCGCACUUCGCCUUGUUGGACACGCAUCACCCCUCUACUCUGUAUGGGUCUCUUUUGCGCAACUCCUGCUGGCUCCAGCUCCAUUACUGUAGCACACUAUAGUUUAUUGUAGUGCGUGCCGGAUCUGGAGUUGGGGGAGCAAUUUUUUCUAGAUUCACCGGCUCCUCCUCCAUAACUGUAGUGCAAUGUAGCUAAUCGUAGCGCAUAUCAGAUAUGGAUUUUGGCUCCUCCUCCAUAACUGUAGUGCAAUGUAGCUAAUCGUAGCGCAUAUCAGAUAUGGAUUUUGACUCUUCACUGCAGUACAACAUAAUAGUGAUACAAGUAGCGUGACACAGGAGACAAGAGCUGUGAGGGAGCGGUGCCAAAGGGGUCAUACGGGUGUCUUCCUCUAUUUUCUUUGCGACGGGAAGAGGUAAACAUACGGGUGGGGCAUCAAGCUAAGUGCACGAGAUUGUGCUCAGAGAAAAUCUUGCUGCUUCUUUUUUUAAUCAUAGAUCGGGUUGGCAUCGUCCUGUCGUUCUGUCAUAAAUCAUAUAUAUAGAUCCGGAUAGACCAAACCCUCCAACAUCAUCAUUUGGUCCUGGGCUCAAAAAAUCAAACCAAAACUUGACCCGAAAAAGAAAAUCGAUCUAAGACGGGCGAAGCAACAAUCGAUCAGAGCACAUAACCUAACACAAAAUACGUGCAAAAGCUGAAUAUAUAUCCUCAGAACGUUUGUGACGUGCAUUUACAGAAAACUGUCCGUCAACUUGCAAAUCACCGGCCUUCUUCUCGGAGCUGUUAGAGGUUUAGGCAUUUUACGGCAUAUUUUAAUUCCGAAUAUUUUUAAGUAAAUUAUGGUCAUUGUGAGUGAUACAGACCGUGUGCAAGUGUUUUGUUUAAAACACGUUUGAACGUAAACAGAACCAAAAGAAAGAACCAGAUAAGGUUCAAUAUGUACCCAGGGGCGGGAUCAUUGCUGAAGGCAAUGGGUGCGCCGUUCCUAGAACUGGAUGCAUCAGACAUUGUGUCUAAAAUGUCGGUUCGAGCUGUUCGAUGUAGUUGAUCAAAGUUGAUGCAGUGUUGAGUUGGUGCAGAGCAGUCCCUUGAACGGCCUCCAGGAUGUAGCAUGACGCGCAGAAGAUGCGCUUCCCCAAAACUUGAUUGCCUGCCUACUCGUGCAAGUGUCGCAGCAGGAUGAAGUUUCGGAGACCUGCGCGUAGAGGCUCGCGAUGGGAAUGUCAAGAUAGCAGCGGGCAACAGCAAAAAAAAGGGGAGAGACGCGUGCGCGGCUCGACGAGGCGAGCAAGCGCACGCGCGGCACCCUUUCUCUCUUCCUCAACUUCUCAAUUAGUGCACACAUAGUCCAUCUAUUUUAGUUAGUUAAGAUACUCUUAACUAUCCAGCUAGAAUUAACCACUUUAUCCAUCUAGCAUUACACGUGGAUCCUGAGAUUAAAUGAAUUAAAUCGGCCUAACCUGAAUAUUCAACAGGAGCUAGCUAAUGAACGGCGAAGAGGUGUGCGACGAGGUGGCCCUUGGGGCCAAGCUCGACUGCCCGCUCAUAUUACUGCUCAUGAAGCUGCUGGUGUUGCCUCCCUUGAUCUGCCAUUCGGUGAUGUAGCUGGGCUUGUUCACCACCUCGCCCACCUCCACGUCGUCCCCGGCCAGCAUCGACACAGCCCGAGACAUGGACGGCCGCUGGUGGGGCGAGCCCUGGGUGCAGAGCAGGGCCACGUGGAUGGCACGGAGCACCUCGUUGCUGUUGAAGUCAGCAAUACAGUUGCCAAACCUGAAAGCACAGAAAAUUAUCUAGAAAUGCUAAGAUGCCAGGCUAGCGUGACAUGUGUUUAGGGACGUUUCAUUUACCAAAUAUAAUCUCGUAGUAAUAAUUUAUAGACGGGAUUAAAAUCAUUGGUGAGUUGUAUGGUAAUAAUAAGUAUAUCGGUGAAUGAGUAUUCUUUUUUAGUCAACGGGGGGAGUGCCCCACCUGAUUCAUUAUAGACCAGCACGCUAGCACGCUUCCAUUAUUGGUGAGUUGUAUGGCAAUAAUAAGUAUAAGCCCCCUGCUCUUUUGGCUAGCACGCUUGCUCCCACCCAACAAGACAUUGAGCUCCACUAACUGUAUCUUCCCCGGACCACAGGAAACGUCAUCGUCGGCAAUUGAGAGCGUCAAUGUUCCCUGGGGGCAGAAGGAGCACUGACAUAGCGUAGGUAAGCUGGCUGUCCAUGACGCUAUUGAUCAGCACUGCAUGGCCCAUUGGAUUCAGUAGGGAGGCGUGCCAGCCGCUGAGAUGCCUGUCCGCUCUAGUGAUCAGAGGGCUGAACACGGACAGACGUAGCUUCUCGUGGGACAGUGGCAGCCCCAGGUAGGUUUGGGGGAAGCUGCCAAGUUGGCACCCAAGAAUACUCUGAAGCGCCGUGGUAGUCGAGCUGGAAGUGUUCAUUGGCAUCAUGGUACUCUUGUUGAAAUUGAUGUGCAGCCCCGUGGCCUCGCAGAACAGAUCAAGCACCUGCUUCAGCGCCACCAGCCCGUCUUGAUCUGCCUUGAGGAGGAUGAGAGUGUCAUCGGCAUAUUGGAGCAUGGGGCACGGCUUCCCCGAGGCGGCAGGGUGUGAAAUCCUCUGGUCGAGCUUGAUCAUCUGCUGAAGGACGUCAGCGACCAGAAGGAAUAGGUAGGGGGAUAGUGGAUCCCCCUGCCGUAGGCCUCUUCCACAGGCGAACCACGGGCCAGGAACACCAUUGACAAAGACAACAAGCUUCAAGGUUUGCAACAUGCUCGUGAUCCAGUUGCACCAGAGGGGCGGGAAGCCUCGCGCAUCCAUGAUGGCGUUGAGACUGAGCCAAUCCACGGAGUCGAAGGCUUUGGCGAAAUCAAGCUUCAGAACCAGGGUGGGUAGCUUGCGGCAGUGGCAGCACUGGACGAGCUCCAUCGCGUAGAUGAAGUUCUCAGAGAUCGAGUGCCCCUUGAUGAAUCCUGUCUGGUCUGGAUCGAUGAGGCGGGGGAUCUAGUGUUGCAGCCACGUCGUCAGCAUCUUAGAGAUGAUCUUCAAGGAGCAAUUUUGCAGGCAGAUUGGGCGGUAGUCCCCCGGCGUUGUGGCGGCGGCAUGUUUGGAGAUCAUGACAAUGUAUGAGCGAUUCAGAUGCUCAAGCUCCGCAGUACCUGCCUGGAACGCCCAGGCCAGCUCCAUGACCGUCGGCACCACCGUGGACCAUGCCGCAGCGUAGAAAGCUGGCCCGAAGCCAUCCGGUCCAAGAGAGCUAGACCGGUUCAUCGAGCACACCGCGAUGCGCGCUUCUAGCUCCAUGAACGGCGCCAGCAGAGUCGCCUCGUCCACCCUUUCUGAUUCGGCGUAGAGGGCCGCGACGCCGAUGGAGUCCGAAGCUGCCGUGUUCACGCGCAGGAGCCCUUGGUGGUGAGAGGUCAGCGCGGCUGUCUUGUCCUGGUGCGAGGACACCACGACGCCGUCCACCUCUAGGGCCCGGAUGUUGUUGCAGUGCAGGCGCUGAGUGGCCUGCGCAUGGAAGAAGCGGGUGUUCGCGUCGCCUUCCUGGAUGGCGUGGUGUUUCCCGCGCUGCUUCCAGUAGGCCGCGCGUUCGCGCAGGACCAGCACAAGGUGGUCCUGGCAGUCGCGGCGUAAGAGAUGUUCACCUGCAGAAAGACAACGGCCUUCCUCAAGCACAUCAUGAAGAUAUAUCACAAACUUGCAAUUAGGGAGAAGGAUGGGAGGAACGCUCUUACGUCGCGCCCAAGCCUUGGACGCGCACCGAACUGCUUUGAGCGAGCCAACAAUGGCCGCAGCCACGCCGUGCGUCGAGCCUCUGAGCCAGGCCGGGAGCACCGCGGGUAGGAAGUCGCUGUGUUUGAGCCAGGCGUUCUCAAAGCGGAACAGGUUUGCUUUUGGGAUGGUGGUGAACAUGGGGAGCUGAAUUGGCGUGUGAUCAGAGGUUGGCUUGGGCAAAGAGUAGAGGGAGGAGUUGGGGAAGGAUAGGCUCAUAGGGACGUUGAAGAAGACACGGUCGAGGUGGGUGAGAGUGGGAGUGCUACGGUGAUUGGACCAAGUGAAGAGGUGGUCUAGAAGAGGGAGAUCGAUGAGACCAAGAUGAUCAAUGGUGAAAUUGAACGCUACACUGAGAGAGGCAUUGGCAGAGCCGUUGCUAUUUUCCUCGCCCCCACGGGUGAGGUUGAAGUCGCCAGCAAGCGCCCAACUCCCUGGAACGUGACCGGCGAUCUCCUCCAGAUUCUCCAGGAAGGGCAGAGAGUCGGGGUGAUCAGCCGGAGCAUAGACGUUGGUGACGGCGAAGGUGUAGUCAGAGGCUGUGGACGAGAGGAACGUCGUGAGGGUGUGCUGCCUGAUGAUACAGGAGGUGAGGGUGAACGCAGUGGAGUCCCAGGCAGUCACCAUGCCGCCGCGGGUUUCAUUGGAGUCGACACAGCGAAAAGCAUCGAGGUUGACGGGAAGGAAGGAACGAGCUCUCAGGCUGUCGAUGGCCCUGAGCUUCGUCUCCUGAAGGCACACAUUGUUAGAACGAGCAGAAGUUAGCGUGUCGCGAACAAUCGUGCACUUGUUCUUGUCCCCAAGCCCACGGACGUUCCAAGAGAGAAGAGAGAAGGAGACAGUGCUAGAGUUCAUUGGUCCAGGAACAACACCAAAUCGCCCCUGCGGAACACACCACAGGAGGGAGACAGAAGCGCGUGGUACAGGAGGGAUAUUAUCUUAAGAACGUGAGGACAUUAUUGCUGACAGCAACCUCAAACUGAGAGGCGCCUCCCAGGAAAAGAAACAAAGCGAAAGGCAAGAACAAACUUAAUUACAAAUAUACAAUCGAGCUAAUCAGAUAGAACACCUCGAAAAUUAUCUUUUUUUAUCGCAGGAGCGCUGAAUAGGACUUACCUUCAGUUGGAUCUGUCCUCGCAGCUGGUGCUUGCUGAGCUUUGGCCGACGCAGCUAGGAGAAGCAACGCGGAGAGCACGUAGCCACGGAGGGAAGAACUCCGUGCUAACCUCAUCUCCCUCCCUCGGUCUGCUGUCGCUUAGCUUGGAGCCUUGGACCUUGGGACGCUAGCCUUCUUUAAUAUUGAGGGAGAUUUCACAACGAUCCAGUCUUUUAGAAAUGGACAUGUUUACUUCAACUGGAACCUCUGCUGUCUAAGGAAAGGUGCACGAAACUUCAAGUUCUAUAGGAGAAACUCAUCAGCAUAUAUAAUAGUGAAAGAAAGUCAACCAAGGUGAUUGAGGGACAGAAGAUACUUGAAGCCAACAAGGGACAGAAGAGAAGUCGAUCAUAUUGCAAACAGAGAUAUAUGUCUCGUCCAGGGUCCCCAAAAAAGGCAACCACUGACAUUUGCAACAAAAUAACUUAUGUGGCGCAAUGUCAGAUUCAAAGUGACUAAUGAAGGGUUUAUGCAAUUUUACUUUUAAUCAUUCAUUGAUUCAAGACUUUCAUGUUCCAGAUUUCUCGGAAUGAAAUGUUUGUGAUGGAUAGCUUGUAGGAAUUCGAACCAAUUCAACAAAGUAAUCAUGGUGACGGGUGCCUAGACUAGAGGUACUCUCAAAGCAGCAGCACCUCAUGCACUUCUUCCAAUGGAGAGCUGCCGAUUAUAUUAAAAAUAAGAAAACAAAUAGCGCCGACUCAACGUGGAACCAACGUGUUCUCUCGUACACCCCGGAAUCAGGAGAAGCAUAUAUCUGGUUCACCCAAGGUUUCUCCGAUCCAGAGAAAAAGCAGAGAUGAGAUUGCGAUAGCAAAGGCUGCUGCUAUCAGAACGUACGUGCAGGGACGAACAUCUCGCGAGAAGCUUUUUCUAUCUCAGUAAAAGAAAAAUAAUUCGGGACGGACUGGACAUACCUUUCAGUUGGAUCUGUCCUUGUUGUUGGUGCUUGCUGAGCUUUGGCCGAUGCAGCUAGAAGCAACAGCACGGAGAGCACGGAGCCACGGAGGGAACUAGUCCAUUUUAACCUCAUUUCCCUCUUCGUAACUGCUCUCGCUUAGCUUGGCCGUGGCCCUUCCGAGGAAAGCAAUCUUGUUCCGUGUCCAAAAAUCUGCUGAUUCAUCAUCAUAGAAGGAAAUCAAAGCAAAUAAAGCAGCAGUCAAAGGCACACGACUGACUGGGGAUACGCGGUCGUUUGGCAACAUUAGUACUGAAGACGACUGCAUGACUGACUGACAUUUUCAAGCUUUGGAUUCAUCCACUCGAACCAUUCAAGACUGUCAUGGUCUAGAUAAUUAAGGCGAUUUCCCAGGAUGGGAUGUUUGCUAUGGACAGAAGCUGGAACAAUUCAACGAAGUAAUAAUAAAGGCCAACCACUUCCGAUACUGACACAUAUACAUCUCAGAGUUCUAACUUUCGCCGUGCGGCUGCUUUUGGUCUGAAGUGUCAACUACUAGUUCGCACAUGCAUAAUCAGUCCAGUUUACACCACGGGAAAUCAAUUUCAUGAAGAUGAAAAAACUACUAGGUACUUCUUCCGUUUCAAAAUGUUCGGUUUUUAAACUUUUUAGAUACAUAAAUUUUGCUAUGCACCUAAAUAAUUGAGGUAAAAAUGAUUGUUAAGUAGCAAUGGGUACUUCCACCACGUACUUUUUUAAAAAAAAUUACACUGUUGAUCCAAGUAAUGUAAUUAAAAAAUAAAUUAAAUUAGUACCGGUCCCACUGUUUUUGUACUUGGUCUCCACCUAUUUGGUACUUCUUGUUACUUUUCUCUAGAUACCUCUAGGUACUUUCUACCUUUCCACCGCACGAUUUUUCUGGAUGGACGGCUCUUAUUUUUUCCAAUUAUUGAAAAUAUUUUCAUCAACAAAACCAAAACGACCUACAUUUUGAAAUAAAGGGAGUAACUAAUAGUCUAAUACCUUAGCAUUGACAAGGGCUUGUUCAACGAGAGUGGAACGACAUAGACACAAUCUCCUUGCAUUUAUCGAAAAUUUAGCAUUUUUUCCCUUCUGUUCUGCUGAAGAAUUUGGCCUAAUCCUAUGAACCCAGGCAAGUGCCUACGGAGAGAAUUUGAUGCCAGGUCCGCCAUUGGAUCAAAGUAGGCACGGCAAUGGAAUAAUGGAUAAUAACCGUCAUAUGCAGUGAUAUAAGGCUUAUAAUCCACUAUGCAAAACUAACAAUCAGGGCACCAACUGUGAAGUGUGUAUCUACACACAACGUAUUCCGUGGAUAUGGCUGCUAGGGGGGCGAGCCUUGGGUGCGAAAGAGGGCCAUUUGGAUGGUGCACCUAACGAAUCUUACACACAUCCAAAUCUUCAAAGUGCAUCCACACCAAAUAAUAUAAUCCGUUGCUUGACAGAAGCUUAUUUGAAUCUGAUGAUCAUUGACCAUCAUCACCGGCCUUCCUCGAUGAGGGAGCUCAGGUACGACGAUGUCGAUGCCGACAUGCCGACCACCUCCCUCUUGCUCGAGCUCGCCUGCCACUCGGUGACGUAGCUGGGCUUCGUGACUGCCUCUGGCACUUCGAUGUCUUCUGUGAGCAUGGACACCACCUUUGACAUGGAUGGCCGCUGCCGAGGUGAGCUCUGGAUGCAGAGGAGGCCGACGCGGAUGGCACGGAGAACCUCGUCGCUGACGAAUUCCAUGAGACUCGGGUCCACGACGUCGAGAGGACGGCCUUCCUCGUACAAUUGCCAGACCUGAAAGCGUAGGGCUCAUGCAUGUAGGAGAACUUCACUGUUGUAGGAAUGCAACAAACUAUUUUUUUUCAUAUGAUUCCAAAUUCUAAGAUCCACAUAAUGCUGCCAUUUUAAAAUUUAACACGCUGUGUCAGCUGCUUAGAUGCUAACAAGGUCUUAUAAGUGACACCAUAUGCAUGACUAGCAAUUUCUACGAAAAAUGUAUUUGUCUCAAAUAAAUAGCAUUUUUAUGUUGAAUUUAGUAUAUGAACAACUUUUAAAUUUUUAUGUUGUUAAUCUAAAUAAUUCUUCAUGUAGUGCUGCGCAAAGCUAAAACUGCUGCACAUUUUAGAAGAGGGACACUGGAGCAUAGAUCUUUAGAUCAAUAACUUAUAUUCUGUGUCCGAGGGAGUAACAAAACUUUCCCUCUUCUAAACAAGUGCCUAUCAACAACUAGCAUUCUGUACAUAGCUUAUUUAUUUGACUGCAUCUCUUUUUAUAUAAUUCAAUGAUGUCAAAAUUAUGGUUAAGUUUUUGAAUAAAAAAUCUUAUGAACGCACAUGAGCUUUAAUUUUUAUGUUAUAUAAGUGCCUAUCAUAUAUAUAUAUAUUCCCAGUUACCACAUGAAAAACUGCAAUUUGACCUGGGUCUAAAUUUUGUAGUGACUUUACCCAUUCUAAAAGAUAGGCGCUGUCUUCGUCAAGCCUAUCAUCAUAGUUUGGCCUUCCAGCUAUUGUUUCCAAUAUGACCACGCCAAAAGCAAAUACAUCAACUUUCUCCGUUACAUGACCUCUCAUGGCGUACUCAGGUGCUAGAUAACCACUUGAAAGAAGAGCAGAAAAAUAAUGUUAUUAGCUCACAGAUUAAUCAAACUAAAGUAUAAACUUUCUGCAAUUGUAUAAAGGUGCACUCCAGUGUGCAAGAUAACCUCUCAUUCCCUACUUACUAUAAAUGGGGCAAGAUGCAAAUGCGCUUACAAUGUACCGGCAACUUUUGUGCUGACAUGCGUCUUCUUGUCAUCAUAAAGUUUAGCGAGUCCAAAAUCUGAGAUCUUAGGGUUGAAAUUGGUGUCAAGUAAGAUAUUACUGGCCUUUAUAUCCCUAUGCACAACACGGAUGCUAGACUCUUCGUGCAAAUAAGCUAGACCUCUUGUAAUGCCUAAGCAUAUCCCAAAGCGUGUAAGCCAGUCUAGGUUCUUUCUCCCACUUCCUGCAAAUGAAUGUUUAAGUUAUACGAUGAACUCCUGGAGGGCCGGAGUUAUAUACAGUUGCAUCAAAUUGAAUGAACCUGUACCAAACAAUGCUUUAUCAAGACUUCCAUUCUCUAAGUACUCGUAAACCAGCAGUGGAUUUUCGCCCUCAAGGCAGCAACCAUACAACUUCACGAGAUUCCGAUGUUGCACUUGGGAAAUAGUUUCUAUUUCAGCUAUGAAUUGCUUCUUCCCUUGACGAGAUGUUUCAGAUAGCUGCUUUACUGCUACCAUGCUUCCAUCGGUCAGUUUACCCUGCGAAAAUGUGGCAUUUUUCAAGAAUGUAAGUUUCAGACACCUCAUUAUCACGCAUAUAAUGGACAAAAUAAAGAUACUGCCAAGCUAACCAUGUCGGGCAACUAUAAAAGGAACUAGUAGAGAGCAACAAAAGGGAAAACCAAUGGGGAAUGUGUGUGUAGAUUGAUAUUACUAAAAGAAUAGGUGAAGCAUUGCCCAGAAGUAGAGGUUUAUUAGUCAAUUUGCAUACAGAAAAAGAGCUCUGAUGUGCACUACUUAUGUACGUGGAAACUUAAUUUCAGAGGUAAAUUAAAAUUCCAUAGCAAAUUUGCAUCCAUGUCACCAUGUGUAGUACAGAUGAACUAACCUUAUAAACUGCCCCGUAUCCUCCUUCACCAAGAAGGUUAGUGGAAUUAAAAUUUUCACUAGCGGUCCUUAGUUCACCAUAACUGUAACUAAAUACAUUUGGUCUUCCAACACAACUGUACAGCUCUGCAAGAAUCACAAGAGAUAAGUUUAUGAGCACAACCUCUUUGUCUGGUUUAAGAAUACACUGUGAACCUGUCAUAUCAUGUACCUCGUUUGUCCAAUGACAAUUUUCUACUUUUCUGCUUCAACACAUAGAGUCCAGAGAGCACCACUAGUCCUAAAACUGCUGCACCAACCCCAACCCCAACAGCUACACCUGUAUCGCUAGUACGCUUCGUCUGGGCAUCAUUACGUACUGCAGGAUUGAAAUCUGUCCAAAAGUCCACUUGUUAGAACAAAUGAAAUCUUGGAUUUGGAUCCUAUGUUAAGUGUUUAUGAAUUUUCACUUUUUAAAAGUACUUGAGAAUUCAGCACCGGUUCAGAGUGGAUCUGUAAUUCUGUAUCACUAUUAUACAUGUAAGAGUGUUGGUUCAGUCAUCAGCAUUCUCCUAAUGGGAACUAAGUUGACCCCGCGAAAAUUAUCUAAACAGUAUAGAAACGUUGGUUUAUAGCCAACGGGAGUACUUGGAAUUGCACUCAAAGCAGAGAUCGAAGGCCCAUAAUAGCCUGGACUAGGGAUGCAACAAGUGCCCUUGCCAGCCCAGAAAAGAUGAAUCUCAAGGAAGUUUCUGGUGACAGGAACAGUAUACUGCUUCUUGACAGCAGUGUAAGAUUUCCCGCCUGCUGCCUUUCUUAUGUCAAAGUUCUGCUCCUUACGCUCACCCUGUACCAAAAGCAAGAAAAAACAAUUAGAAAAUCUCAAUCAGCCCAUAAGCUAAAAACUCAAGUAAGUGUAAGUUAUCAGCAUGACUGGAAUCUACCUGAACAUAGAUAUCGAAAACCCUUUUACCUAAACUCUUCCAAGUCUGCAUGUCUUCGAACUCAAACUCUGCAAAUUGAAGUGUGACUGUAUAGUUUCCAUUCUCAAGUCCAAUGCCAUAGUAGCGUAAUGAUGAUGGAGACAUCCUUGCUGUCUGGAACAGUUCUGAAUCUAGAGUUUUCUGAAACUGGCGUGAGCUGUAGAUUAUGUAACUUCCAUUUUGUGAAUCCAUGAACCUCCCAACAUUGCUAACACCCCAUGUCAGUGCUCCUGUAUCAUAAUAGGAAGCAGGUCUAACAUAAUAGGAAGCAGGUCCCAGAUCGGUGUUGUCAAUAAAAUAAUUUGAGCCUGAUAUAGAUCUAGAGCUCCCACAGUCCACAGCAAAGGAGGAAGCUGCAAGCAUGUUAAAUUAUUUAAUACUGAUGUUAUUUAGCGCAUCCUUAAAGUGCAAAAGUGGAAGCUCACGUUGUGAAGGGUAAGGAAAGCAGGGUGUGUCUCGCUGAAGGCACUAUAGCCCCGAAGGUAAGGCACUGAAGAUGUCAAACAUUGUCAAUUUGAAUCCAAAAUAUGAGCUGACAGCCUGAGAGAACAUAAAAAUUGUGCUUGAACACUUUAAUGACCUAUUUGAAUACAAACUGACUUAUUAUUAUUGAAGUCGUCGAUUAUGAAAUUGUUCGCCACCAAAUUCCUAUGUAGAAUGAAACAUGCAAAAAACGUUAGAAGGCGCUAUUGUGGAGAAUCAAGAGAAACCAAAGCAGGGACAAAAUUGAUUCAGUUUUUUAAGAUAAGCAGUAAGGUAAAGUACACAUCUGCUUGUUCAAAGAUUCUGAAUCAUAGAUGACGUGAAAUGCAAAAAAAAAAAGAAAAAAAAAGAAAUAUGAUCUAGGUGCAGCAAAAGCAGCUUUUUAGAUGUAGUCGAUAUUAAAAAAUGCUAGUUUAAUACAUGUGUAUGACAUUGGAUUAUCUUUAAAAAAAUAGUAAUAGGGCUGAAUUUUCGGUCAGUCAAUCAAGCUUGCAAAACACAGCACAUACAAUUUCAAAAUCAGACUAACCCAGGAGGGAAAGUUUCCUGAUAGCUGGUUGUAGGAAAAGUCUCUACACAAAAGAAAGCGUGUAAAUGUUAUAGAUAAACGCCUUCCUGGUUUUACUUCACAAAUGAAAGUGGACAAACAUACAAGUUUUUAAGAGAAGUUCCUAUAGAACUUGGAAGGCUUCCUGAAAGACUAUUAUUCCCGAGAAACCUGGGCAGACCAAAUUUGCGCAUUAACAAGAUUGAUGAUCAUUGUCAUCAGAACCUAGAAAUAAGUAUCAGAAGGCAAGAUAAACCAUACAAGAAGCUGAGUGAAUUCAGAUUCAGCAGAGCUUGUGGUACCUGGCCAGUGAUAUUGUUAAAACUCAAAUCCCUGUAACAGUAGAACAAAUGAGACUAGGAGAGAAAGGGGUCAUCAAACAAUGCAUAAUCCACAGCAGUUCAUUAAAGCAUCUAGCAAAACAUACAGUUGACUGGAGUUUAGGAAGAAACAAAAUGUCUUACAGUAGGGUUAAUGUUGCAAACUGUGAAAAGUUUACUGAUGCCAGGUUAUCAGAUAUCUUGCAGUUCCUCAAAACUCUGCAAUGAAACAUGUCAAGAGUUUUCAGAUUUAACAAUUGGUUACACUACAGAAAAUAUUAAGAUGUAGUUUGAGUCAUCAAAUGAAUGGCAAGUUAUGCAUACAAGGUGUUCAAAGAUGUCAUGUUACUGAUGAAUGCCAGUGAAGAACUUCCAUUUACUAUGUCACCUAUUCGUCUGCACCACAGGAAUAGAUAGUUCAUUCUUCCCAUCCGCAGGUCUUGAAAUUUAAGGAUGAUAGUACGUACUCUUUCCAUAAGUAGUCACUUACAAGCUUGUCAGUUCGACGAGAUUAGAAAGUGUGGUCGGAAGGGGACCUUGAAACGAAUUGCCUUGAAACCGCCUACAAAUUGAAAUUAUUGUUACAAUUUUUCAAGCAUCAUUUAUUUACCAAUGUGUUUACCUACCCUAGUAAAGAAACAAGAAAGAUGGGACUUCUUAGGUAAAACAAGAAAUUUAUAAUGAAAAGUAUUAGAAAAAAGUUCAAAGAUUACUAAUACGAGUACCCAAAACGUAGCAUCGUAUUAUAAUGAAUAGUGAAACAAAAAGAUUUAAUAUUUACUAAUAUGAUAAUAAUAGCUCACACCUGACCUAAAUAAAUUAGUUAAGAGGCCACUAAAUGGAAAUCAGUAGAGUAAAAGACACAUACACUUUUCUUUCGUUUUUUUUACUUGAACACACAGGAGAACUAUGUGUCAUUGCAUUAAGAAGACAAAAGUGCUGAAAAUUUAUAGCAGAUUUUUGAUCAUCACAUUCGCACCCUUGAAUAUGUGGAUACUACCCGACUACUUGACUCUAUGCUCUAGUUGCUACUAAAGCCACUAAGUCCUUAGCACUGACAAGACACCAUAGGUGAGCUUCUUUCUCAGGCUCUCAGCAACCUGUAAUAGGUGCUGGAGUGAAAGACCUAGACACUAAUCAGAAUGAACUCAUUUACAUAUGGCAACGAGUGAAGUAGGUAUAAAAUGAAUGUCCUACUUCAGUACCAACUUAAGUUCUGAUAAAAAUAAAGAUUGACUUGUGGAGAGCUAUAGCUUGUUGUAUCUAUACUAUUUGGGGUGAAAAAAAGGACCAAACAAUUAUGAAAAUGAAACAACAUAUGUUGCUAUUUUCAAUUAGGAAAUGAUUGCAAAUAAUGAAGAUUAAUUAAGAAAAAACUUACAGUUCUGUUAAAUUAGCCCAGUUCCCAAUAUAAUCUGGUAUUUGCCCAGUAAAAUCGUUAUCUGAUGCCCACCUGAACACAAAGAACAGUAACAAAUAGGAUUGAGUGGAAUGGAACAGUACAGUCAACAAAACAUCUCUUAUAUGCAUACAAUGUUUUCAUCUUGUAAGACUGGAUAGCGAUGAUGGUAAGGGACCACUUAAGCCAGCGCUGUCAAUAUACCUGCAAUUAAGAGAUGCAAAUAUAAGCAUAGAAAUAAGGAGCCGACUAAUUCAAGCAAACAAUUGUAGGAAAGAAAUAUAUAUAGUGCCCAAAACAAGUUAACACGCACAGUUGCUCAAGUUUAACCAAAUUCCCUAGUUCCAACGGAAGGGAAUCAUUUAAGUUGUUUGAGCUAAAGGACCUGAAACCCACCCAAAAAAAUAUAGGUUAAUCACAAAAAAUGAGAAAUAUCUAUUCCUAGAAGCAUAAUUACUGGCAGAAAGCUACAUUUCUAGACAGUGGUUAAUCAGUUGAAGGAAUGAAGAUGUUAAGUAGAGAUCUCUAACCUUUCCUAGUGAAAUACAGUGAUACAAGAUUAGUAAGGUUCCACAUUACAAAAAUUUAUUUCUUACAGCAUUACGAGAUUGGUAAGGUUCCCGAGCUCCUUUGGAACAGAUCCGGAUAAUGAAUUGAUGCUCAGAUUCCUGUGUAUUGAACAGAAUGAGAUGAUGUUUUGAUGUUAAGCAAAAAUAUGUAAUGUAAUAACGGUUUAAGAUUCAAAUCUCACAUGUACUGCAUAGCAGUCAAUUUCCCGAGGAACGACGGUAAAGGCCCUGUUAAGUAAUUUUGUCCUAAGUUCCUGAAACAACAUCAGAAAAGAUAUUAACAAAGAUUAAAGUUGGCUCAUCAUGUUUGAAUUUGAGUGUAAUGUUGGAAUAUGGUAUUUCCAGAAUAUUACAAUUAUGCUGAACCUCUAGAAUAUCUUCAUAAAGAAAUAGGUCAUAGGCAUCAGCUAUUUACAAAGUCCCCCAAAAACCACAAUCCACAAGUAAAAUCCUAUUGGACCCUUCAGGUACAAUGCAAGAAAGUUGAGAGUUCAUACAGAUUAGUCAAACGCGUGAGGUUCUGUAGUUCUGCUGGUAUCGCACCAACCGCAUUCAGCGCAUAUAUUUUCCUGCAAGCGAGAAAAGUCAAGUAAAUGGACCGUCAGCUCACACUAUCUCAAUUUAACCAUCAUCAUCGCUGUUCGUCAGAUAUAAACACCAGCAGGAGGCGUAUGGAGCACCGCUGAAUCCUCUAGCUAGCACUUUUCAGAUACAGAGGUAACAACGUACUAGCACAGCGAGGCGGACGCAUCGCAUACCCAAAGGCUCGGUACAAACAGCGAAACCUCCGGCAGGCCAUCCCUCGAACACCUGCCGUGCGGAGCGGCAACACGUGAGCUCUGAGUUGGCGACUUACAGCUUUGUGACGUGGCAGACGGUGUUGUUCUGGCCGGAGCACUCGCACUUGAUGGCCGGGUUGAAGUUCGGGUCUGUGUCGAUGUUGGUGUCGUCCGUGGCGGCGCCUGUGCAGGGGUCACCGCUGAUGUUCCAUGCCGACGCCGCCGUCUGGCCGAGCUUGGCGAACACCGCGUUCACCGCCGCCGCUGCAACGAUAUCGAAUUGAAACCGUGAUCAGAUUCACAUGUGACGGCGAAAAGGUAAGUCUACUACACCACCUAGCUUGGCCGUCUUUUAAUUUCUUCCAGGAGGAGGAACGUAUAAUUUUCAAGCGAAUGAGGAUGAAACAUCCUCACGUGAAAGCAGUUUAUACUUUCAUAGGAGUACAUGAGAUGGAACCUACAAUCCCCUAGGAAAGCUGAUCGAUCAGGAACGAACAGCUCAUGGAAAGCUCUUUUUUAAGAUAAAGGAAUGAUAUCCGGCCUUAACAUUCACAAGUGAAUAACAUUCAUGGAAAGCUCUUAUGUUUCAGGAAUAGGAAACGAGGUGGGCAUACCUUCAGUUGGAUCUGUCCUUGUUCUUGGUGCCGCUCGUCGAGCUCCGGCAGAUGCAACUAGAAGAAUCUGCAGCACGGAGAACACGAAACCUUGUAGACAAGAACUCGAUUUCAACCUCAUCUCCCUCCUGCAUCUGCUCCCGCUAGCUUGGGCGCCGUCGCACUACUAACGUCUCCUAGCCUCAUAAGAAGUUUGUUUGUUUUUCCACGCGCAAUAAAUUUGCAUCUGCCAUGAAAACAAUUGCACAUGAGUGGCUACAUACUUUUCAAAGCCUUCUCACACUCCUUCACAACUAAAUAAAGCUCGUGCCGACAUAUAUUAGCCCAGAUCAUUCAUGACUGUCACUGUCAUGUUCUAGAUUUACCCCGGAGAAUAAUGAAAUGUUUGCAAUGGACCAAUUCAAUUUAAUGUAGCGCGUGAGGUGGGGGAGCAAACUUUUCUAGCUUCACCAGCUCCUCCUCCAUAACUGUAGUGCAAUGUAUCUCAUCAUAGCGCGUGCUGAUCUGAAGGUGGAGGUGGGGGAGCAAAUUUUUCUAGCUUCACCGACUCUUGUUCUUCCUCAUUUCCUUUUUAGCUUCAAUAUGGGUUGACUCCUCGCUGCAGCACAGCACAACAGCUAUACAAGUAGCGUGAUAGAGGAGACACGAGCCGUGAGGGAGCAGUGCCAAAGGGUCAUACGGGUGUCUUCCUCUAUUUUCUUUGCAACAAUCGAUCGCAGCACAUAACCUAACACAAAAUAUGUGCAAAAGCUGAAUAUAUAUAUAUAUAUACGGAAUAAGCUAUUCGGUACCCGAGCCAUCCGUCGAACCAGCCUGCCCCCGUCACGCCGCUUGCCAGUUGCAGUUUUGCGCUCCGUUAUUUAUCUUUUGGGCUGCAUGUUCCAAAAAACUGCCUCGUAAUACAGCUGAGAUCGUGGGUUCGAAUGAAAUUGGCAGUUCUCCCGUGGAUCCUCCGCUCCAUAUCGACGGCACCGCCGCAAAAUCCCGCGAUUUGUUUGCUGGCGCCCUUGUAGCACUCACGCGCCGCGAAGCUCCUCCGUCGGUCAUCGUCGCCCUUCUGCCGCCUGCCUGCUUGAUUGCGCGAGCUCGACCGGCGGAUCCAGCGCCGGCUCUGCAUCUUGCAUCGGAGGAGCACCGUCAUGCGCGGGCUAUUGGCUUCGGUGCCGACCUCGCAUUCGCCGCUCGCUCCAUCGACGAUAUGCGCCGCCCCAACCUCUGCUCGUGUAGAGCAUGCCUAUCCCCCGGCCGAUUCGCAGCGUGGCUGGAGAAGGGAGCUCGAGGCCUCGAGCGCUGCCGCCCAUUCAUCUCCCGAGCCCAAGUGCCGACGACCGAUUUGAGCCUGUCCUUCGCCGAUUCGAGCCAGUCCGCACCGAUUCGUCGUCCUCCACAGGUGGUCCUCUCCUCCCCCGAGCGCGGCUGCCGCUGUGUGAGCUACACCCCCGCUCAAGCCCAUCUCUGCCCCCAAGCUUGACGCCGGUGUCGCUGCUGCCCACAGGCCCUCCGUCCCAAGGUCGUCAGGCUGGAGGUCCCGCAGGUCCACUGCGGAGCUCGCUCACGCAGGCCCAUGGCUGGAUCUCGCACGGAUCCGGCAAGGACUGGUCCGGCAGCUCCCUGCUACGACGUUCUUAUCGGGUGGCUUUUCAUUGGAGGCAGUGGUGAGGUCGUUGAACUCCUCAGUCCCCUUCCCCUUUCCUCGAUGUCACAGCUCGAUCUUUCAUUGUUCUGCAUACACGUGUGUGGUUCAGUGGACAAUUCGAUUGGUCAGAAAGUCAGAACCAUAUCUACAUCGUCGAUUUGAGUUGCUCCCUGAGAUUCUGCAUCAUGGGUCGGUGCCGGAGCUUGUAUUGUGAAUUUGUGAUCCAGAUUAUUGGAUUCUUGUUUCUGUAACCUGUAAAUGUCAAUUGAGCUUGAUAGAAUAUUUGGUUUGAGUUUCUAUUUUUCUAAGUCUGAACUAAUUGAUGAAAACCAGAUGUUCUACGAUGCUGCUAGUGUUAUAAUACAACCUAUAUGUUUUUCUUAGACAUGAAUACACUCUCGCUAGUCCAAUUGCAAUCCUCCAAUGAAAUCUCCCAGUAAUGUAGGAAUUAUAAUUGUUCUAUAUUAGUGUAGAAGAAACAGACAACUCUUGCCUUGCCUUGUUUGUUUGUUUUGUUGUUUUUUAUCUUGCAAGUGAAUCUUCGGUUCAUGGAUGCUGUUGCCAUUCGUUGAUCUCGCGAAUGACUUAUUAAAUUCUCAAACUCAUUUCUCUUCUGUAUGCCUGCAGAUUGAAGCCUUAGGGUCGAGGUAAGAGGCCAAGAGCAAUGAGCUCCGAGGGUGUACAAAGUAGCAGCUAGAAAAGGCUAUAUUUAAAAUACCACAUGUGCACUAUAUUUAAAAUAUUGCAUCGUAAUUUUAAGAAAAGGCUAUCACUAGUUGAUAAAUGGAAGAAACAGCUAGAAAACCAUUUAUAGCUCUAUUAUAUAUAUGUAAAAACUUACUAUACAGCAGAUUGAACAUAUUAAGUAAUAAGCUAUGAUCAGCACAAACAGAGUGCUUCAUUUCUGCAUAUUCUUUCACCAUAUGGCACAUACAAUGAUACAAAGAAUGAACUCUGGAGAUUCAGUUAAAUAUAGUGACAAUCCUAGCUGAAGAAAUCCUCUUUUAACUAGACAACACAUAAGCAGGAAACGUGGAUAUUGCUCACAUAGCAAAUGAAUGUUUAUAUACUGUAUUAACUAAUGCACUAAAACCUCAAGGACAUGUGGACAUGCCUAAUUUGAUCAAGCGGUUAUCAAGACACCAAUUUUAUGAAUAUAAUGUUAAAUAACAGAAGCAUAUUGUGGAAGAAAGGACCUUCUAGUUGAGCAGUCACAUAGUCAUGCCUGCCGAAGAUGCUUUGACCCUCUCUCCAAUCUGCACACACAGGGAAAUUAGUAAUGAAUAAUAGAGUAAUCAUGUGAAAAAAGAACUUCAUGAUGCUCACGUCACUAAAUUAGGUUCCUCAUUGCAAAUAACAUAUGUACUGGCAAAGACACCUAUGCUGAUGUACUCAUGAUCUGCACUGAGAAUUGAAAAAAAUAUUACUAAUUUUUCAGACUACACAGUACACACAAGUGCCAGAGAUAACUGAGAACAAAGAAAUCAAGUAUUGAAUGCAAAUGGCAAUCAAACUGACAUUUCGAAAAAAACAAAUAACCAGCGUGGGAGGGGCUCGGGUACGGAAUAGGGUAUUCCGUACCCUAGGUACCGAAUAGCGGAGGCAUAUAUAUAUAUAUAUAUAUAUAUAUAUAUAUAUAUAUAUAUAUAUAUAUAUAUAUAUAUAUAUAUAUAUAUAUAUAUAUAUAAAAUAUAUAUAUAUAUAUAUAUACUGAGAACGUUUGUGACGUGCAUUUACAGAAAACUGUCCGUCAACUUGCAAAUCACCGGCCUUCUUCUCGAUUACGGAGCUAGCUAAUGAACGGCGAAGAAGUGUGAGAUGAGGCGGCUAUCACAACCGAUUUUAAAAUAAAACCAAAUGCUACCUAUACAGGAUCUAGUUGCAUACAUAUAGCGACAUCAUUAGUGAAUAACAAUAACAGUAUCACAUAAAGGUAUAUAAAUAAUUCAUCUUCAAGUUUAUUAACCAUGUGAGGGUACAGGCCGCUCUUGACCGUGAGCACGACCGAUAUACUAAUUUUACACUCUAUAGAGGUUGUACACUUUCACCAUAAGUCGCGUAAAAGUUCAAGAGAACUUUAGACCCAACCAUGUUGUGCAAAAGUAGGCACUUAUCACACUACCGAGGUGUGACUGCAAAGAGACGCUACGAGGCCUUUACAAAUAUUCCCUAAUACGUGAUAACCCGUUAAGGUUUUGGUGUCUGGCGCACAUAAACCUCUCUAAUGGGCAUAGUGUUUUAGCAAAGCUCACUUCCCAAGUGGACCGGGCUAUACAACGACUCAGUCCCCCCUCUUGCCCUUUCGGUAAGAUUACCCCAACUAGAGUCCCCCCUUGCCCUUUCAGUAAGAUCACCCCAACUAGAGUCUCUAAUUAAUUAGCCAAGACCGAGCCAGAUAGAGUCUCUAAUUAAUUAGUCAAGACCAGAGUCAUAUAGUUCUUGUGGUUGCACUAUUUUUCUAGGUGGUCGCUCCAUGUCCAAUUAAUACAUGCAUGGUAUUCUUGUAAAUAAGCAAGACAGAAGGAUGGUUAGAAACUUUGAGAUAAACUAUUUGGAUCACUAAAGCACACAAAACUAUGCUUGAAAAGGAAAAGCUUGGUUAGAUUCAUGAAAGAAACAGGUCUGAGGUGGAACUGGAACUGGAAGAACUGGAAAGAUCUAAAGCUUUACAGAACACUAGAUCUUCAAAAGAGAUACUGAUCUAAAGCUAAUAAAGAACGGCUAUCAAACGAUUUUCAUUUAUGAGAGCACAAAAAACUAUAGACUAGGUUUAUUUUAAUUAGAAAACCUUUACAUUUCAGAAAGGAAAUACCCUCAGUUCGAAUUAAUGCAAAUUAUACUUUAUUUACAAAGAUCGAGGUAAAAACCUAUUCAAGUUUUAUUUAUAAAUGUUCAUGUAUAAAUUACACCAAUUACUCACUUAACUUUAGAAAAGCUAAUAUUUUAUGAUUCAAGUCGGUUAAAUGUUAUUGAAAACAUAUUUCCGUUCAUAUUAUUCAAGUUAAUAUUCAUUUACAUCAUCAAAAAUCAUAUAGGCGAGACGAGCGGCGUGACGUGUAACAAUGUAGGCAUGGUUCCAUGCAUGUUGGACGAAGCAACGGUGUGUGUGGUAUUAGCAUGAUGAAGCACAUAGAAUUCCUGUUCUGACGAGAAGGCAAAGCAGAGCGCUAUAUGGUAUUCGAGCUAAUCGCGAACAAACUGGACAUACCUUCAGUAGGAUCUGUCCUUGUCCUCUGUGCUUGCUGAGCUCCGGCAUGCAGAUACAAAGAGAUGAAGCAGUAGCACCAAGAGCACGAAGCCAUGGAGACAAGAGCUCGGUUUCAACCUCAGCUCUCUCCUCUCUGCUCUAGCUUGGUUUGGUGGGGAGAUAUAUUACACGAUGACCCAGCAUUUAGGAAUGGACAUUGUCUCAGCUGGGAAGGUAUCAAUGGGUGAUAUUGCUCCACCUCGAGUGUAGAGUGGGAGUGAACUUACACGUUCUAAAAUAUAAACUCUUGGUACGCCGCUGGAGAGGAGGCAUCGCUGGAGUCGCACUUCGCUUGUUGGGCACGCAUCACCCAUCUGCUCUGUAUGGGUCUCUUUGGCACAGCUCCUACCAGUAGCGCAUUAUAUCUCAUCGUAGCGCAUGCCGGAUCUGAAGACGAGGGAACAAUUUUUUCUAGCUUCACCGGCUCCUCCUCCAUAACUAUAGUGCAAUGUAGCUCAUCGUAGCAUGUACCGGAUCUGGAAGCGGGGGAGCAAAUUUUUCCAGCUUCACCGGCUCCUCCUCUUCCUUAGUUCCUUUUUAGCUUCAACCUGGGUUUUGACUCCUCGCUACAGUACAGCACAACAGCGAUACAAGUAGCGUGACAGAGGAGACAAGAGCCAUGAGAGAGCGGUGCAAAGGGGUAUGACCAAAGGGGUCAUACGGGUGUCUUCCUCUAUUUUCUUUGCGACGGGAAGAGGUAAACAUACGGGUGGGGGCAUCAAGCUAAGUGCACGAGAUUGUGCUCAGAGAAAAUCUUGCUGCUUCUUUUCGAUCAUAGAUCGGGUUGGCAUCGUCCUGUUGUUCUGUUGUAAAUCAUAUAUACAGAUCCAGAUAGACCAAACCCUCCAACAUCAUCAUUUGGUCAUGGACUCAAAAAUCAAACCAAAACUUGACCCGAAAAAGAAAAUCGAUCUAAGCCGGGCGAAGCAACAAUCGAUCACAGCACAUAACCUAACACAAAAUAUGUGUAAAAGCUGAAUAUAUAUCCUGAGAACGUUUGUGACGUGCAUUUACAGAAAACCGUCCGUCAACUUGCAAAUCACCGGCCUUCUUCUCGAUGACGGAGCUAGCUAAUGAACGGCGAAGAGGUGUGCGACGAGGCGCCCCUUGGGGCCAAGCUCGACUGCCCGCUCAUAUUGCUGCUCAUGAAGCUGCUGGUGUUGCCUCCCUUGAUCUGCCAUUUGGUAAUGUAACAACCAUGUCUUUCUCUCACCUUCCCUUCUCUCCCUCUAUAUUUUAAAAUAUCCUACGCAGCAUUAACAUGGCUGACUUAGGUAUUUCUUUAAAACAAGUAUAUUGGUGCCGUUUAACAGGUAGUCUUGUGCAUUGCCCGGUAACCUUUGAGAUGACUUUUUUUUCGAGAACAGGCAGGGAAGCUACGUAUCUUUAUAUUAAGAAAAAAACUAAUAGUUUUACGACGCGGACCAACCGGGCACACGCACACGGUCUGAUUUCUUCGUUGUCAAUUAUACAAGUAAAGAAACAGCCAGAAGAACACAUGAAAAAAACUAGGAAGCUAAGAGAGACCUAGGACUCCUACUGCAGCCGGCCAUCCCAAGGAGGCCAGAUGCUUAGCGCCGGCGUUGAUCCAGAGCUGAGCCUCUUCAAGGAUCACGCUUGACAAUUGUGCUGCUGUUUUGGCUAGGUUUCUGCUUAAAAACUCUGUCAUUUCUCUCUUUCCAGAUUUUCCAGGAGAUCAACAUGAAUGUGGAAUCCAUUCCUUUUUUCUUGAUUUUGUUCAUUCCCCGCCUCUUUUGUAGCCACCGAUCUAUUGCCGUCAUGUCAGGACUUGGCGCUUGCCUUUGCAAGUUCAGCAUUCUGCUAGCUGCUUGCCAGACCUCCUGUGUGUAACAACACCUAGCAAAAAUGUAGUCAGCUGUCUCCAAUUCUUGAUCACAAAGUGCACAUGCUGUGUGAUCUUGCAACCCAUGUCUUUGUCUCCUGUCUGCUGUCCACAAUCUAUCUCUGAUGGCAAGCCACAUGAAGAACUUCACUUUCAGUGGCGCCCAUGUCUUCCAGAUAGCGCUUGCUGCAGCAAAGUGCGUUGCCCCCUCGAAGAGCAAUCGGUAUGCGGACUUGGCUGUGUAUAUGCCCGAGGGAUCCCAUCUCCAAGAGAUGAUGUCCUCUAUUCCCGGCCGGAGCUGAAUCCCAUGGAUCGUGUGCCAAAGCUGCACAUACUGUGUUAGAGCAGUCACUGUUAAUCGUCCGGCAAUAUCGCGUAUCCAUUGCUUCUCCUGAAAUGCUUCAGCAACUGUCCUCCUUUUCGUAGUCCUUGGCCUGAUAAGCUUGCAAAAGAUCAGGCGCAAUGUCACAGGGUGAUGACGCUCCAUUCCAUCUGUCCUUCCAGAAGAGCGCUAGAUUGCCGUCCCCCAGUUGCACAUCGAUAGAAACGUGGAACAUCUGCUGAAGUAAGGAGUCAUCUCCAAACUCAAUCUGCAGGUGUUUCCUUGGCCUGUUUGCAUCAGUACAUUGUAGCCACAACCAUCUCAACCUUAGGGCAUAUGAAGCCAUUCUUAGAUCCUGUAGCCCCAGCCCUCCAAAUUUCACCGGCCUGCAGACACCAGUCCAGGCAACAAGACAUUGUCCACCAUGAGCUCUAUCCUUCCCUGCCCAUAGGAAACCCCGACGGCGCUUGUCGAUUUCCUGGAAGACCCAGUCUGGAAUUUUCAGUGAGAUGAUGGUGUGGAUGCAAAUGGCACUCAUGACAACCCUGACUGUUGUUAGUCUUCCAGCUUUAUUCAUCAGGGGUGCUCUCCAAGUCGGCAUACUGCUGGUCACCUUGUCCACCAGUGGCUGGAGGUGUGCUUUCCUUAGGCGACCUGUCAUCAGAGGUAGUCCAAGAUACUGUAUUGGAAACUCCGCUAUCUUUGAGACGACCUAAUAGAUAACUGUAAAGCAUGGCUUGUUGAGAUGCCGGUGGGCUAGUACCUUGGUGAUGAGCGAUUGACAACACGGUGUGCGUGUGACGUGUCUCUUGGCAGGUGUGGUUGCAGGUGACAGGUGGAGACGAGGUACAUGCGGCGACGAGUGAAGAACGGGGAUAGGAUGCCAUGCCGAUGAACCGUGGGACGGUGAAGGGUGGAUCAAGGCUCGCGUUCGAGGGACAGGCGAUCGUGCGGUGUAUGUCUACUGUACCUGGCUACACGGCGAGAGGACGUCAAGGGAGGUUUUCGGAUUACACCAUAAAAUCCGGGGUUCGCUGGUUGAGCCAUAAAGCCAUGCAUCGUACCGGGACGCUCGUGCGGCGAGCGUUGGCCGAAGAUGGAAAUUCCGGCGAUCGCGAUACGAUUUCGGAUGGUCGUGCGGCGACAUCGCGAGGAUCACAUCACGGAGAUGGAGGAAUCGCGGACAUCGCGGAAUUUGUCAUGGAGGACGUAACUGGAAUUUACGCACCUACGUUAAAUUUAUUUAGCGUAGGGGGUUAUGUGUAAAUAGGCCGUGCCACCCUAAGGAUAUAAAUACGUGGCACCUAGGGUUGAGAGAGUUGGAGCCCUUUUGCUACAGGCGGCGCUACAGUACUCGGCGCUACAGUAACUCGCGAUUACUGUUCAUCGCGAUUAUUGUUCAUCGCGGUUACUGUUCACGCGCGGUACUGUUCAUCGUCGCAGGUACUGUUCAUCUCUCUCUAGUCUAGCCUAGGGUUUCAAUCUAAGUGAGGGAUUUUUAUUGAUCUCUCCAAUUAAGAGAGGAAGGAUGUUUGGGCGGAGGCUAGAUGCACUUUUGUAAGCACAUUACUUGUCUCAAUUUUUCAUAUUAGUGAAUUAAUCUAUGUGCUUGUGCGUCAUGUUGUGCUGAGGUUAAGAUUGAUUUGAUCCAUCUAAAAUCAUGCUAGGGCAUCUUAUUAGAGCUUAAUCUAUUCUCGUCAUUGUCUGAUACAGUCUGCUUGUUCCUUUAAUAUCUCAAGAUCCGAAAGUCCGAUUGACAUGAUUCCAGUUGGGUUAGUUGCAUAAUUUUGUAUGGAUUUUUCUGUCAAAUUUUUAGGUUGAUCGGUCUUACGGAUUUUCGUCCAUAUCUUUUUUAUUAAGGAAACAGUAUUCUGUCCAGAUUUGAAAAACGUGAUUUAAUUAGGUUUUGAGAGGAAGGGGAAGUGUUAAACUUUAUUUUUUGAACUUGCGCCCAUUCACCCCCCCUCUGGUCGCCGUUUCGGUCCUUCACUUGUGUCUUUUACUUGUGUCAUAAGUAUAGAAAAAGAAAUAUUGUGUGAGUUGCAUGGAAAUAACAAACUCGUAUAAUGAUGAGAGCGUGUUUCAGGAGGGGAGAUUCCCCCUGCUGGUCUGCAUGGUCUGUUAAGUCUAUGUAUUCUUGGCUGUAGGCAUUCAUUCGUGGAUAACUAAGGCCGGAUGAUUUUAUCCUUAAUCUAAAAAAAUAAUGAUGAGAGCGUGGUUCUAUAAUCCUAAAUUUUUACAUUAUGAGUUGGUUGUUUCACGAACAGUCACUUCCUUCUCUCCCCUUCACAUCAUCGAAAAUCAUAUAUGGGGAGACGAGUGGCGUGGCGUGGCGUGUAACAAUGUAGGCAUGGUUCCAUGCAUGUUGGACGAAGCAACGGUGUGUAUGGUAUUAGCAUGAUGAAGCACAUAGAAUUCCUGUUCUGACGAGAAGGCAAAGCAGAGCGCUACAUGGUAUUCGAGCUAAUCGCGAACAAACUGGACAUGCCUUCAGUAGGAUCAGUCCUUGUCCUCUGUGCUUGCUGAGCUCCGGCAUGCAGAUACAAAGAGACGAAGCAGUAGCACCAAGAGCACGAAGUCAUGGAGACAAGUGCUCGGUUUCAACCUCAUCUCUCUCCUCUCUGCUCCAGCUUGGUUUGGUGGGAGAUAUAUUACACGAUGACCCAGCAUUUAGGAAUGGACAUGGUCUCAGCUGGGAACGUUACAAGAAGCAACAGUUCUACAAAGUACACUAAAGUCACGAAGAUGACGGAUGGUGACCCUGUUAGAAGAGUCAGAGCGGUUGCAAUCGUUGAGGCCUUACAGGUUUUUUGACCUAUUCCUGACGCUUCAAUAUGGAAUAUCUUUUUUUUUCCUUAGAUGCACAAUAGAUCUAUGCAACUGUCUUGAAGACGACUUGCUCAUGGUUGGCAUUAUACAUUUUUCAAAGAUUUAGAGCAGCUAAGCACGGGCCGACAGUCAGAUAUCUAGCUCAAAGCAUUCAAGAUUGUGAGAGAUGCAUUUCCCAGAAUGAGUUGUUUGCCAUGGACAAACUGUAGGAAUUCAGACCAGAUCAAGAUGGUAAUUAAGGUCACCUGCUUUCGACAUGGACAUACAAUAGUCGAGUAGUUCUAAAUUUUGCCUGCCUACUUAGCUUUAGUGUGAAGUGCGAGAACAGUUUCAUGCACGCAUUGAAAUCGCACCUAAAAUUUCCUCAAAAAGAAGAAGAAAAGUUGAACAGAAAAGAUCCACGCGAAGCGACCAUCAAGCACAGCACAUAACCUAACACGAUAUUAUGUAGCAUUUACACACAAAAAAUGUACUAAUAAUUUUGCUACAUCAAACAUUCUAACGUGACGUAAAUCUUGAAAACCAUAUAUGCACAUCCAAAUAGACAAGAGCCUCCAACAUCAUCACCAUUUGAUUAUGCAUACAAAAAUUGGACUGCAUACGAUUCAAAAUGGAACAAAAAAUUUGCCUAAAAAGAAAAUUGGGCCGAAAAAGAUCUACACGGAAGCAACAAUCGGACACAGCACACCACCUAACACAAUAUAUGUGCAAAAGCUGACAAUCCCGAGACUGUUUGUAACGUGAAUUUACAAGGAACAAUCCGUCGAUCGCUUGACCGAACUUGCUAGUCAUCACCGGCCUUCUUCGAUGACAGAGGUCAGGUAUGGAGACGAUGUGUCUGACGAGGCUGCCCUCCGUGCCAAGCUCGACUGCCCGCUGACAUUGCUGCUCAUGAAGCUACUUGUGUUGCCGCCCUUGAUCUGCCACUCAGUGAUGUAGCUGGGCUUGUUCACCACCUCACCCACCUCCACGUCUCCUGCCAGCAUCGACACAGCCCGGGACAUGGCCGGCCGCUGGUGGGGCGAGCCCUGGGUGCAGAGCAGGGCCACGUGGAUCGCACGGAGCACCUCGUCACUGUUGAAAUCAGCAAGCUUGGGGUCUAUCAUGUCCAGUGGGUGGUUUUCCUCGUACAGUUGCCAGACCUGAAAUCAUAGAGAGAAGAUAAGCUGCCAGGUUGGAGUAGCUUGUCUUCUUCAGGCAAAUUCACUAAUUCGGAUAUAUAAUAUGUCUGCCAUGUUAGUCAAAAGAAGGAAAUUAAAAUGUGAUCAACCUCUUGUACUGCAAUAACAUCCGUCAUGCUGGCAUGCUGAAAUUUAGCACACUACUAUAUUCAAGUAGGAUAUAAACCUAAGUAUAGCACAAUUAGCAUUUUAUUUAUAGUUUAGCAAUUUUGCUGAAAUUUAGCCCACUACUGUAUUCAAGUAGUGUAUAAACCUAAGCAUAGUACUAGAAUUUUGUUUACAGGUCAGCAAAUUCACGCAAUUUUUUCCUAACACAAUGAUGUGGCAAACAGUGAUGUAAUGAAGGCUUGUGAACUCCAUUAUAAAUUCCUAGCAUAAACUUUACAGACGAUUUGACCAAUAGUACGGAAACUAGAGUGCAACAAUGCCUUGCCUCAAGUUUAGAGUUCAGAGUGAACUUACCCAUUCUAAAAUAUAAACCUUAUCUUCAUCAAGUGUAUUGUCAAAGUUUGGCCUUCCAGCUAAAGUCUCCAAAACAACCACGCCAAAUGCAAACACAUCAACUUUCUCCGUCAUAUGACCUCUCAUGGCAUACUCAGGUGCAAGAUAACCACUUCACAGAAUAUUUACAAGAAGUUUUAUAUUAGCUCACAUGUGAAAAAUACUAACAUAAAGGGGGAAAGAUAGAAAUGUACUUACAAUGUACCAGCAACUUUUGUGCUGACAUGUGUCUUCUUGUCAUCAUAAAGUUUGGCGAGCCCAAAAUCAGAGAUCUUAGGGUUAAGAUUGGUGUCAAGUAAGACAUUACUAGCCUUUAUGUCCCGAUGCACGACACGGAUGGCAGACUCUUCAUGGAGGUAGGCAAGACCUCUUGCAAUGCCCAAGCAUAUCUCAAAGCGUGUUUGCCAGUCCAAGUUCAGUCUCCCACUACCUGCAAAUAAGUGUUUAUUUUUUAAUGUCCAUGUAACAAAUGUGAACCCCCCCCCCCCCCCACACACACACACACGCGCGCGCAAAUACACACAUUCAUAGUUGCACUAAUUGAAUGAACUCGUACCAAACAGUGCUUUAUCAAGGCUUCCAUUCUCCAGGUACUCAUAAACCAACAGCGGUUUAUUGCCCUCAAGGCAGCAACCAUACAACUUAACGAGAUUCUUGUGUUGCACUCGAGAAAUAGUUUCUAUUUCAGUUGCAAAUUCCUUUUUUCCCUGAUUAGAUGUUUCAGAUAGCUGUUUCACAGCCACCACCCUUCCAUCAGUUAAUUUACCCUGCAAGAAGAUGCCAUUUUAUCAACCAUGUGCAGAAACUAGAAAAUAAACUGGAAAACAAUAGAAAAAAGGGAAUGUAGUGGGGAAUGACCCCACUGGUGUGUGUGUAUUAAUAUUAUAUUAGUGAAAAUAAAUUAAAGGAGUUCACAGCACCCAAAAUAUUGUUGAGCUAACAAAGCUAGCUGAUUUUCCAUAACAAAACACACAGAUGGGAACAUCCUUUAGCUUUGCGCAACUUAGAAAAGCUACUUUUAGAAGGAAAUUUGAUGGCAGAUUCAUAUCCUUGUGUACUUCUGAUGGACUAACCUUAUAAACUGAUCCGUAUCCCCCUUCGCCAAGAAGGUUAUUUGAACUGAAAUUUUCAGUAGCGGUCCUUAGUUCACCAUAACUGAGUACGUUAGGUCUUCCAACAAUACUGUACAGCUCUACAAACAUAGCCAAAAGACGACUUCAGAAAUAUGGCCCUUAUCUUGGUUAAGAUUUAAGAAUACAUUGUGAUACUUGAUUAUGGAUGUACCUUGUUGCUCCAAUGCUAGUUUCCUCCUUUUCUGCCUCCACAUACAAAGUCCAGCAAGUGCUACUAGUACCAAAACUGCUGCACCAAUCACAACUCCAACAACUAUACCGGUUUUGUUACUACUAUUCUUCUGUGCAGCGCUACGCACUGUAGGUUUGAAAUCUGUCAGAAAGUGCACUUGUUAGAAAAAUGUGAUCUAACAGCUGAACCAGUACACUUUAACUUACCCUGUUUAGGAGUUUUUCAAUAUUUACUAGUUUUUGUUUGAAGAGAGCGAAUUAUGUAUCCCAGGGUUCUAGCGCUCCCACAAACAAACACAACAUGUUGUAAUGUUUCAAAAAUCUAAAAAAAAUCAUGUAUUUAGCACACAUUAAAUUAAAUAAACCUGCAGAAAUUCAAUGUCAAAUUCAUUCUACAUGUCAGGGAAAAAUACAACUUGUGUUUUUUGAAUCUUGUUAUCAGAGAUGAAUUUAAAAUUGGAUUAUCAUAGUUUCACUAAUGGGGAUCAGAAUCAGAACCCCUGGUAACAAAUGAAUUUCCUUUAUCAGAAAGUGCGCAUGAGAACAUUCAGCAGAAAUCAGAAUGGAUAUGUACCACUAGACAUAAGUAUAUGUGUAUGCAUUCCUUCAAUCAUAAGCAUUUCUCAAAGUAGAAAUUAUAUAUGCAUCUUUUUACCCCAAGAAAAUUGUUUAAAAAGUAUUAAAACAAUGAUUUGUAGCUAAGGGGAGUACUUGGAGUUGCACUCAAAGCUGAAAUCGCAGGCCCAUAGUAGCCUUGACUAGGGAUGCAACAAGUGCCCUUGCCAGCCCAGAAAAGAUGAAUCUCAAGGAAGUUUCUGGUGACAGGAACAGUAUACUGCUUCUUGACAGCAGUGUAAGAUUUCCCGCCUGCUUCCUUUCUUAUGUCAAAGUUCUGCUCCUUACGCUCACCCUGUACCAAAAGCAAGAAAAAAACAAUUAGAAAAUUUCAAUCAGCCCAUAAGCUAAAGACUCAAGUAAGUGUAAGUUAUCAGAAUGACUGGAACCUACCUGAACAUAGAUAUCAAAAACCCUUUUACCUAAACUCUUCCAAGUCUGCAUGUCUUCGAAGUCAAACUCUGCAAAUUGAAGUGUGACUGUAUAGUUUCCAUUCUCAAGUCCAAUGCCAUAGUAGCGUAAUGAUGAUGGAGACAUCCUUGCUGUCUGGAACAGUUCUGAAUCUAGAGUUUUCUGAAACUGGCGUGAGCUGUAGAUUAUGUAACUUCCAUUUUGUGCAUCCAUGAACUUCCCAACAUUGCUAACACCCCAUGUUGGUGCUCCUGUAACAUAAUAGGAAGCAGGUCCCAGAUCGGCGUUGUCAGUCUGAUACAUGGAAUUAUCUGAGCCUGAUAUAGAUCUAUUGCUCCCACAGUCCACAG
rnacentral:lncRNA from 1 species